rnacentral:lncRNA from 1 species
UUUGACGACGUUAUGACUGAGAAGAACUCCAGUCCUCCUUCGUCAGCUUCCACAACAAACGGAAAGAAUUUCGGAACAAAGAACAAUUCACCUUCCUCCACUUUAGUAUCCAACACAAUCUUACAUAAAGGUCCCAUAAUUUGAACACGUCCACUUCCUUUCGUUACAUAACUCAAUUGAACGGACAAAUCUGCUGUAAAAAUAGGACCAAAUAAAGCACCACCUUCCAAAACUACACGAUUUGCGCUUAAUCCAAUGUAUCUAAGCAAUGGUAAAUUCCUACAAGUUACCGUGGAUAAAAUUCCACCAUUUUUUACUUCAACAGUACAAUGUUUCGCGCUAUCCAAGUUGAAAACUAACUUAUGUUCGGCGUUUUUGUUGCAUGGGUGUGGCAUUUUUAUGUCUUCCUUUAUCUUAAUUAUAAUAUUAGAACUACUCUGGUCUUUUAUAAGAUUUUCGAUUUCAGGUUUGGUCAUGUGAAAAUAUUUAGCUAUAAUUUCAUUAGAGAAUCCAUUUAGAAUACCGGUGAAUCCAGUUAAGAAGAAACCGCAGUAUUCUCCAGGUGUGUAUUCAUCAUCAUAUUCUCCUAAGAAAAUUAUUUCGAGUUUAGAGUGUCCAUCAUUGUACCACCAUGACACUUCUUUCAUGGUAACUGGUAGAGUAUCCCCUUUUUGUAAUUUUAUAACUUCUUCUUUUGAAUCUUCUGAUGAUAUCAGUCCAACAAUGCAUUCACCUGUGAGAAUUAUAUAAAUGGUUACGUUUACAACAACAAUUAACGGGAAAGGAUUGUUCAAGAACAUAUAUAUGUCGUAGGUACCUUGACAAACAUAAGCAAUUUUUGAGGAAACAGAAUAGUAAGGUUGAACAAACGCACGAGGCUGAAGAAGAAAUAAUCCAGCAGCAAGUUUUUUCUGGCUAAGAAGAGGAAAUUGGCUACUUGACCAACCGUAGUAUCCACCAACUCCUUCAACUUCCAUUAUUGUUUUAUCUGCUUUUUUCGAUGCCAAUAUUAAAUCCAUCGAUAUAUUCUCAAACAAAAUAAUAAUACCAAAAAGACACUUUGAACUAAAUAUUGUUACAUUCUUCAGAGGCAGUCGUUCUAUUUAUAGAGGCCGUCUGACUACGACUUUAAAAUAUAAAAGUUAGUCGGUUAAAAUAGUUGGAUUUUAUGUUUUCAUUUUUUUUGGUUUGGGUGUGCAUCAGUCCAUUCGAUUUUAUGUAUUAUUGGUUUGGUUUAUCAAUUUUUGAUGAGUUGUGACUUUUUCAAUAAGUCUUGUACUUGCCAGCAAGAUCAGUCAUGUAAUGGUGUAGCCUGUGGAAGUUUAUAAGCUGAUUGAAAACGGUACCACCAUUUGAAUGGUAUCCAAAUCAACUCAUUUUCCCCUUCAAAACUUAAGGAAAACAUUUUUCAAAACUCUCUUCCAACUUCAAAUUACUAUUUCUUUUUGUUGAAAAAAUAAAUUUAUUUUGUCCCUACCCUCAAACCAGNNNNNNNNNNNNNNNNNNNNNNNNNNNNNNNNNNNNNNNNNNNNNNNNNNNNNNNNNNNNNNNNNNNNNNNNNNNNNNNNNNNNNNNNNNNNNNNNNNNNNNNNNNNNNNNNNNNNNNNNAAUUUUUCAUUUAUUUUACCCCUACCAACCCCCCACCCCCUUCAAAAAAUUUUUUAAGUUUGUUUGUAAAAAAUAUUUUCUACUUCAAAUUUUUAUUUUUUUACACCUACCCUCGACCCUCCCCCCCNNNNNNNNNNNNUCAAAUUUUUAUUUUUUCACCCCUACCUCGACCUCCUUCCCCCCUACCAGCCCUACCAACCCUCCCACCCCAAACCCCCAAAAAGAAAUUUAAGUUUAUUUUUAAAAAUAUUUUCAAUUUCAAAAAAUAUUUUCUACUCUAGUAAAAAUAAAAGAUAUUUCUCAAAAACAUUUUUCAUUCAUAAAUCAAACACUAAAAAUCUUUUCCGGAAAAUAUUUUCUAUUCACCAACCAAACAUGAGAAAACAAGUCAAAAAUCUACUUGUUUUCAAUGAAAACAUUUUCUAGGAAAAAUAUUUUCCUUCAUAUCAAACACACCCUUAAUGUUAAAAUUAUUUGAUAGAGAGAAACUAGUUUAAACAUUUAUUACAAAAAAGUAAAUUAAAUUUUUAUUUUUAUUAAAGUAAAAUAUUCAUUUUCAAAUUGUCAAUCAAUAUUACACAUAUUUUUUUAAGGGUUGAAAUCUUUAAUUGUUAUUUUUUUUCUUUUCUCUAGUCUUACAAAAAUAUUGUUGUUACCUUUUUUUCCAAUUCAGCAAAAUAAUAUGUAAAAUAAAAAUACUUAAACGUAAAAUAAAAUAUAAAUUUAUAUAUAAAAAUAAAAAUAAAAUUAUUAAAUGAAAUUAACCAAACAUAUGAGAUAUGUUAAUUUAUUAAUAAGAGAUAUAUCUAGGGUAUUUUAGUCUUGAAAAGAAUAAUUUUCUGUUUCUACUUCCGCUUUUUUUAAGAAGCUGAUAUUGUUAGCUUUUUUCCAACAACAGAAAAAUUGUUUCUGCUUCCAUUUUAAAGCGGUUCUACAGGUUUUUCCCAAACACCUAAUUGUUCAAAAAAUGUAUUUUUUCUCAAAAUAAGUGCUUUUCGGCGGCUUCCAACAGUAAUGUCAAACCAGGCUCUUAGUUAUGAAAUCCUCCUACUACUUAUUUCAUAUGAAAGCCCCCUACUACUUAUUUAAUGAGAAUACACAUAUUCUAGCUAUUAAUUUCAAAAUUCUAAAUAUUAAAAUAUUAGUUGUUAAAAUAGUAAAUGAUAAUUUUAUUCAUUAUAAAGAUUUUAAUGUGAUAAAAAAAAUACAAUCAACAUUUCUAAGGGUCUUUGUGUUUUUAAGUAAUAUAGAUUGGUAGAUAGAUAAUAUGAUGAUGAUAAUGGUGAUAUGAUAUUUUAUAGGGAAAAUGCUAAGUAGCCCCCCUCCCUCAAUCUAUGCCCGAAAUCACAGAGACACACUUAUACAAUACUAAGGUCCUAUUACCUUCCCGAACUUAUUUUAUAAAUAAUUUUCUAUCCCUUUUUGGCCUACGUGNNNNNNNNNNNNNNNNNNNNNNNNNNNNNNNNNNNNNNNNNNNNNNNNNNNNNNNNNNNNNNNNNNNNNNNNNNNNNNNNNNGGGGUGGGGGGGGGGGUACUAGGACCUUAGUAUAGUAUAAGUGUGUCUCUGAGAUUUCGGGCAUAGAUUGGGGGGUACUUAUGCAUUUUUCCUAUUUUAUAUUUAGAGGAUUUUGAACUUUUGUUAACUUACUUGUAUGAAGAAGAAACCCCACAUUGGCUAUUAUUUGAGGAAGUGGGCAAGCAAUAUAGUAUGGGUUGGUGCAAGCCUGGGGUAGCUAGGCCUGUGCAUUCAUGGUUUGCCAAGUACAUCCUACUAGGGACUCCACUAAAUGCUACUAUAGCAUCUUGGAUAAGUAGUAUUAAACUUUUUUAUUAUCUGAAGUAAAGUUUAGGUUAUAAGAGAAAUAACGAAUUGAAAUCAAAAUUUUGAACAACAUUUUAGUGGUACUUUAAUCCGUCUUUCACAAGAACAGAAGACAUCUUGAACAAAUUUCUUAAUCAUUAUCUUUAUUGGAUAGAAAAAUGAUCUGUUAUACUUCUUAAUUUUGUGAUUUCGAUUUAAUAUACCUUUCGUUCAAAAAAGUGGCUCACACAUAUUAUGUAUGAUAUUAUUAUAUUAUAUAUGUCUCUCGUUAAAAAGUAAUUUUAGUGAUGGAGUAUAUGAUGCAAAUAAUUCUUUGUUGGCACAAACAUGAGGCACCAAAAUCUAUCCACCAAUCUCUUGGAUUUCCAACCAAGUUGCAUUCUGAAAUCAUUGCACAUAGAUCGUCCAUCUCUUCUUUUGAUUCAGCCAAAUUUUCUUGAUCCUUCUUCUUGUCCUUUUUAGGACCCUGAUAUUCAGUAGCCCUACGACCACGUUUGCCGCAGUUGAAGCAGUUUCCAUUGAAUUUCUUCUUGGGAGGAUUGCUCUUUGGUCUAGAUGCUUUCUUUCUUUUCUUUGAUUUUGUGGGAUCUUCUUCAACAUUAUUUACUCCAGAUAUUGCUGAAUUACCACGUGACCUCUUUUCUGCGGCUUUGUUAUCCUCUUCGAUUCUCAGUCUUACCAUGAGAAUCUUCAAUAGUCAUCUCCUUGUGUUUAUGUUUCAAGUAGUUUUUGAAUUCCUUCCACAAUGGGGGUAACUUCUCAAUAAUGACCGCCACUUGAAAAAUAUCAUUCACAAUCAAUCCUACAUCAAAGAUUAUGUGAGUAUUAGGAACAAACUUAAUAUGUUCAACAUAGGUAUAUAUUAAUUUAUACCUUCAGCAAGGAGAUCAUGGAUUAUGACAUGCAAUUCUUGAACUUGGGUAACGACAAUCUUACUGUCUAUCAUCUUAUAGUCUAGAAUUUUUGCCACAGUGAACUUAUUCAUUCCGGCAUCCUCUGUUUUGUACUUCUUUUCCAAAGCAUCCCAGAAUUCUUUUAAGGUCUUCACACUAUUGUACACAUUGUACAGAUCAUCUUGCAGGCCACUCAGAAUAUAGUUUUCACGCAAAAAAUUUGAAUGCUUUCAUGCUUCUGUUACCAAGAAUCGUUCUUCGUCCGGAGUUUCAUCUGAUAGAAUAGGAACGUUCUCACUAAUGAACCUCUGCAGACUCGACGUAGUCAGAUAGAAGAACAUCUUCUACUAUCAUCUCUUGAAGUCGACUCCAUAAAACUUUACAGGUUUCUCAGUCGGUGCAAGGACAGUAGUUGAACGAUUGUGUGCAACCGAUGUUGUUGCAACACUCACUGUUUCAACAUUUACUUGACUUGAAUUAGUCAUUUUUCUGUCACAAAUGGCAGACAAUUUAGUAUGUGAAAUACUAGAAGUAAAGAAUAAAUCUUUAUACAACCUAUUUCUUAUUUAACGAUGAAGUUUUUAUGUUCUUUUAAUCGUUAAUCGAAUGAAUUUUAAAAUUCAAACAGAGUAGAAAACCAGAAAGGUUUUAAUCUCCAGAAACCUCAAAUACAAAAAUAAGUAUUAAAUUUCUUAAGCUUGUUAUCUCCUGUAUUCAGAUUAGCGAAAAACAGAAAUAGAAAAGAUUAUAUAGACAAAAAAUAAAUAAUCUGAGUCCACAGCGUCGGUUCGGAAGGAACAGGUCCCUUCAGAACGACUUUACCGUUACACGCGAAUUUUCAAAUAAUUCUGUUACGCUAAAUUAAUUCCGUUAAUUAAUUAACAUUCAUGAGAUUGAUUAAAUAAAUUUUGCCUAAAAAAUUAUCAAUCAAUUGCCGCAGCCGAAGCCAACGGCGCGAGGGGCACCUUCUACUUAACCCUUUAAAAGCUAAUGAAAGUGUUUCUUAAUAUAAGGACAACACUUUUCCUUUCUUCUACCAAUAUGAGAGAAAUGACUUUUCAUUUUCCCUCCAAUGUUCCCCGCAUUUCCCAAUUUCUCAUUCACACCUUGCUAAAACCCAACACUUUAUUAUGAUUAUAUAACAUAUCAAAAUAAAACAAAAGUUUAAAAAAAAUAUUUUCACAAGAUUUCUCAUGAAUCGAUUUGGAUUACAUAUUGACCCAAUUUUUAAUGAAUUAAAAUUAAUUGAACUAAUAAAUGAACGGAUCUUUAACCCGCUCAAACAUAAAAGAAUUGGAUCGAUUCAAUUGAUUUUUUACCGUCCCAAAUUAUAUACUACUUCAAACAAUCUUAUAAAAACAUAGAUAGCAUGUGAACCAUAAAAAGGAAGAAAAAUAUUCAAAAUUUAGCUUUAAAAAAUUAGGUGACAUAGAGCAAGGUCAUUUAUCCUCGGAAUCGUAGUCUAUUUGUGUUGCUAGUUUUUGAGGUUUGGCGAAUUUAGGCAUAGUGAAUCUUUAGACUAUUUUAAAAAAUAAAAUAAAAUACACAUUUCUAAUUAUAAUACACAAAUUAAUUAGUGUAUAUAGUCUUAAUGGAUUAAUUGGAAAAUUAUUUAGGAAAGAAUAGUUAAUGUUACGUUGUAGGAGAAAUAAGAUUUUAUUUUUAUGUCUUUUACUUGACUGCAAAGGUGAUUUUUUAUUUAUUGUAAUGGACAAUUAUAAGUGAACCACGAGAGUAUUUAAAUGAGUAAAAGAAAAAAUAGAAAAGGACCGCUUAUUCUAGAGGCGUUAAAUGAACGAUUUGAAUUGAAAUUGAAAAUACUAAAAUGAAUUCAAUAGAAAUAGGGCUGAGCUAUAAUUUGCCCACAUUUAUUUUGGUCUCAAAUGAGCUAAAAAUUGGAUUGAGUUAUGACACACAUAAUCUCAAUAAUUUUAAUAUAUUAUUAUUUAUCUUUUACAACCACAAUUUAAAUUUCAACUUAAAAAAAUAAGUUACAAAUUGAUGAUAAAAUAAAAUAGAUAGUAAUUGGUGAUUCAUUAAAUUAGACUCAAUUGAAGAUUCUGUUAAAAUAGGUUGAGACCUAAAUCAAUUGAAGAUGACCAAAUUCAAAAAUUAUGUUAAACCCAACCCAUAAAAUUCUGAAUGAAUUAGACAUGUUAUCUUCAACCCAACCCAUAAAUGGCCCUCUAACUUUUUUUUUUUUUUUUUGUAUAUAUAAUUCAAACAGUUAAAUGGUCUUCUCACUCAUUUUCCUUCAGCUCGUCAGUUUCAAACCAGAGACCAUGGCUCAAACCUCUUGUAACAAUGGCGAAACUGAUGAGGUGCAAUCCUAUUCUGCUCCCAUCAACUCAACUUAUAGUCUUCCACUUGUUAUUUUAAUCAAUUAAUUUGGUGGUUUUCAUUAAUUUUUACAUUUAUGUUUCUUUUUUCCUCUCCAAAUUGCAACCUUUCUAGUAGAUAUUUAGUUUAGGUGAUCUGUUUUUCUUCUUGGAUAUCUUUAAUGCAACCUUUUUCCAUAAUUUAUAUCUUUGGUUUUCCAGGUUUUGGUGGAGGAGCGCGGAAGUGUUAGUACUAUUUUUUUGACAUAUGAUGACAUGUUAUAAGUGAUAACUAUUCCCUCAAACUUAUUUAUCCAGAUAUCUCGGCUUACGGAACUUUUCUAUACGAGUGAAGAAGAUUCUAAUGUGAAGAUGAUAAUAUUAAAGGUAUUUUUAAUAGUAGUAGGAUCUUUUGUGAUAAUUAAAUUUCCUGUCAUAGCUUAACAUGAGGAGGGAAACUUGAUGCUCAGCAUUCUGCCUACAAAAAUAUUUAGAAACUACUUGCAGGAAGAGUUGCAAUGAUUUUGAUUUGCUUUAUUCAAAUCUUAUUUCUUUAUCGAAGAACUUCAGUUUGUUCCCUGUCUCAUCGAUCUCUUGACACUGGGAAGAAAGUUUUUUCCUCAUAGCUUUAGUGACAUUUUCCCUGUAAGGAUAAAGCUGGCUAAUCAGCUACCUCUCUUUGGUAUCUCACUGGUGCUGACCAAUCUAGUGUUUGAUCCCACCUACCUUUCUCCUCGGGAUACAUUAGGCUUAUGUUUCUUGGCAAUCGGAACAAUCCACAUUAUCAACCUCUGGUUGUAUGCUACAAAGUUCUCUUAAUGCCGCCUGUAUAUCUCAAUUGCAGUCAAGAAAUGUUACUACUUUUCUUGUAUCAAUAUUUUCCAGGGACACGGAAGGGCUUUUUGUGCUGGUGGUGAUCUUUCAACUCCUUUUCAUAUUAUUCGCCAGGGUACGUAUUUGCCAAAUUGGUAAUAUCUUGUCAAACACAAUCUAUUAAAAUUGGAUCCAUGAACUGAAGUUUAACUCCCCAAGUAAUUUCUUUCAAUGACAUAAAAUUCAGAUGUUAUCCAAGUCCAUAUCUUUGUACUAUUUACCUGUCAAAUCCAUCUUGUUUCUCACUUUACCUAGAGAUUAGGUUUUGAGCAAUCAAUAUAUAGUACCAGUAAAUGUGUACUCAAGAGUGUGUGAGGUCUCAGGUUCAAGUCUAAGCGGAGAAAAAAAUUAGUAGGUGAUUUCUUCUCAUCUGUCUAAGCCUUGAUGAGAAGAGUUACCUAGUACAUACAAGUGUUGGUAUGAGGUAGCAUGUAUCCAGUGGAAUUCUCACAACUUAAUUUCUGAUGAAGCCAUGACCGGAACCCUGUGCGUUAACUUGACCGAGCGAACCAUCUUGACUUUCUUAUAUGUUCUUAGUCAUAUUAAAAUGUGAGACUCCAUGUAAUUCUUUGAAAAGUAAAUAUAAUAUUGCAUCUCAAGUUCAAGUAAUCACUUUGAAAAUUUUAUAUAAAUGUGUUUAUACCCUCUUAUCAUUGUUCAACUUUAUAACCCACAUUCUAAGACUGUCUAUGAGCCUCUAAGAUUUAGAACCUUGUGCCACUGGCCCUCGAUGAUUUCUAGGUUAUAAAAGAAAUGCAUAGCUUAAUGUCCCCACUUACAUAUUUAUUUACUCAUGCUUAUCAGGUAACUGGCAACUUGGUGCUAAUUAUCUCCGAGAGCAGUACACCUUGAUUUAUAUGAUUGCAACAUAUAGAAAACCCCAGGUUAAAUCUGGUUAUGUCUAAUUUUAGUUCUGUGAUAUUACUUUCUUUGAGGUUCUCCUUAAUCUUGUUUGGACUUCCCAUUGAAGGUUUCCAUCCUUAAUGGAAUUGUCAUGGGAGGUGGAGCUGGUGUUUCUAUACAUGGUAGAUUUCGAGUUGCGACAGAAAAGUCGGUAGAUUCAUUGUCUUGUUUACCCUUUUGUAUUUGAUCUUCUCCACAUUCUUUGUGGUUUGUUUCAAAUGUGUCUAUCUAGGGAGUAACAGUGAUUGUUCAUGUGGAAUAGCUGAAACAAAAUAGCUCUUGGAAUCCUUACAGUUUUGAAUUGAAGGAUUCAUAUCUGGCAGAACUUCAUGUUAUUUGUCUCAGAGAUCUUAUAAAUAAUUUUUACCUUUUUUCAUAUAAAAGGCUCUGGCAUAACUAGAGUGAAGUUGGAGGAAAAUCUUACAAACUGUAAAUCUUCAUGAGCUUUAAUUUGUACCUUGGAUUUGCAUUGAGGGUUUAUUUUUCUUAGGCAGUAAUAUGUACCUUAUUCAUAGAUGGUGCUGGUUCCUACAUGUAAUCGGAUACCAGAAAUUUCAUAUCCAAUGUAAUUUUUAUGUAUGUUUCUCUGUAGGUAUUCGCUAUGCCUGAAACAGCUAUGGGACUCUUUCCUGAUGUAGGUUCCUCUUACUUUUUAUCAAGACUUCCAGGAUUCUUUGGUAAUUUCACUAGCCACAUUGUUCAUAUUUAUAAAGAAAAUUACUGCAAUUGAUGUAGUUCAUUCGAGUUUAUUGUGAAGUUAUCUGCCACUUUUCAUUGUUUGAAAUUUAAGUCACUACCUGGUCCUCAAGCUCCACUAGUUGAGGCUAUAUGUCUUAGGAGAGAAAUGGUUAGCUCAGCUACAUCCUUAAAAUCAAAAGUAAAAAAAAGUCACAAGCAGAAGAUAGGUCUUUUGCUCCUGCAGAAGGUGUUCAAAAGGUUGCCGCACAUGCCCUAUGGAUUAAAGCAGCAGCAACUAUGUGCCUUUUGGUGCAUCUUCUCUUAUAUUCUGAAUUUUCUGGACAUUUUUUUUAUCUGUUUUUCACCAUUUGCCAUUCAUUGAUCAUGUUUCCCUACUUAAAACUAGUUUUUCGCCCGUUGCACAAACUUAGGUCAAUCCUUUUCACAUACAAGUGUCUAUAAAACUUUUUCCCUACAGAUACUUUGGGGUGUUAGCUAGAUGUGAGCCUUAGUUGUCAUAGUUAUGGCUGAAUGUUUAAGUUUAAGUUAUUAUAGAAAUCAGCCUUAGUUUUCAACUUUUCACGGUGACUGCUGAAUUUCUUUAGAUCAUCACAAAUGUAAAAUAUCCUUUGAAGCCAUGUAUAAAAUCUUCUCUACAAGGAUAUUUGAAAAUUGUGGUUUUUAUAAAAUCGUUGACAUUCUAAAUAAUUCAGAAUUAUACCCGAUUUUAUUUAGAGAUAUGAUCCUUCCUUUUCUUCCCUAAUUUUAGUUGUGCUGAUUAUGUUGCUAUUAUUGCGGAAAACCAUUUCCUACAUUGUCAAUGAUGCCCAGAGAAUUUGUACUUACAAAGGUUAUAUCUUGCAGGGGAAUAUGCUGGUCUUACUGGUUCUAGGUUUGAUGGAGCUGAAAUGCUUGCUUGUGGUCUUGCAACCCACUUUGUGUCAUCAGAUGUAUACUACCUUAAUUUUUAGCAUGUUAUGCCCAUUUACAAUUGCUUCUAUAGGAAAUCAUUAUGUUAUCAUAAUGGCAAUACUGAUGCUGCUCCCUUUACUAACUAAAUUUCUAAUCCACUGUUUAUCUGAAGGUGUCAGGCUUAUGGUGUUAAAAUGGUAAUCUUAUCUGUCAUUUGUUAUAUAGGUCUUACAAAUCCUUUUUAGUUAGUUUGGUUGCGGCAGCAGCAAGUUCAAUAGUUUCAUACCUGUAAUAAUCAAUCUUCUGUUGUUUCUUUUCCAAAAUACUAAUUAAAUUAAUUAAUAGAGCUUUAUAGAUGUAUCAUGUAGAGUACAGUGUGCACAUUGAUUUAUUUUUUUUGGUAAUUAGGUACCAACAAAUAUGAAUUCAAAGUACUUGGAGAAAAAUUCUACGGGUUUUGUAAACUACCUUCCCCUGCAGUUCCAAGCUAAUCAUGCUUGUUGGAAUUUGGAUUUUGUCAGCCAUGCUUGAAAUGGUUCUUAGAUGGAUUUAUGGACUUUUGGCACUUCUAAGAUGUGGUUCAUUGAUCUUGAUAUACAUCAAAUUGCAUAAUAUUUGUUUAUUAGUUCAUUCCUCCCGUCUUUGCUCUAUUUGAAUACUUUGUCUCUUCCUUGUGUUCACAGAAAUUGCCACUUUUAGAACAAGAACUAGUUAAAGUCAACACGAGUGAUCCAGAUGCUAUAUCUGCUAUCAUAAGUCGCUUCUCUCACAUACCAAAGUUGAAAGAAGGAAGUCCUUACCACAAGUGAGUUCAUUUAGUAUCUCUAUAUUAUGAUGUUUGUUUUUUUGCUGAUUUAUUGGAAGCUUACCUUCUAAAUUUGCUCUUUAGAAGUCAUUAUCUAUGCUCUUUAUUUUUAUUUUGCUCUCAUGUUAUUUUUCUUCCUGUUGUGGUAAGACUAUUUUCCCUCUAAUUUAUAUCGCAGUUAGAAGCUUAAGAUGAUGGAUAGCAUUCCAAAGUUUCCAUUGUCUCUAGGGAAAAUAUUGUUCAAUUAAGCAAACCUGUAGUCUUUGGAUUUUCAUGACCUCUUUUUCAACAGUGCACCAGUUUUACUUUCUGCAAUUUUAUGCAUGUAGGAUGAAGAUUAUUGAUCGCUGUUUCUCUCGAAGGACAAUUGAAGAAAUCAUAUCUACUCUUGUAAGUUUGGGAGAUGGAUGGUGGUUUGAUGUGUUCUCUUUUUUUUUCUGUGCUGAAAUUACUUUGUAAAAUUUUGAUAAUAUAAGUUACUAAAAUAUGUGUAAGAACUUUGCAUGAAUUUUUUAAUAGGAAAGUGAGGCUUUGGACAAGAAGGAGGAGGACUGGAUCUCUUCAACCAUUCAGUUGCUGAAGAAAGCAUCCCCUACAAGUCUUAAAAUUUCCUUGAGAUUAGUUAGUCAAUCGCUACCUUGUGAUACCAUGAUUUUGUUACCUGAACUUCUGUACCCUUGUUUCUUCAGAUUGAUCAGAAAUCGGUCAUGUAGGAAGUAAGACCAAGUUUUUCUUAACAGCUGCCCCAGAAAGAUCAUUUGGAUUAUACGCUUGGAUUAGGAUUAUUUAUUCUGGAUUUUUAAAUUUGAUACUAGAUUAGUAUUGCUGUGAAGCAAGUUCUUCAAAUAAGAAAUAUGAUGAUGUCUGGCUCACACAACCACAUCUUGAAUCUCUUUCUACACGGUCCUAAUGCCUUGAUUUGGCCAACACUUUCUUUGAAGAGUUCUUGAGUAUCUGCAGAUUGUUCAUAUUAGUUUCCUUUUCUGUUCCAGAUAAGAGAAGGGAGGCUGCAAGGUGUUGAUAUUUGCCUUGUCUGUGAGUAUAGGAUAUUUUGUCAUGUGUUGAGGGGAGAAUUUAACAAGGAUAUUCUUGAGGUAGAAUAUGCCAUCUUUCAGCCACCAAUUCUACGGCAUUACAAGACUAACACUUGACUUUUUACUGCAGGGAUUCAGGGCCAUACUUAUAGAAAGGAUAGAAAUCCUAAGGUGUGUUAUAUUUAUUUGAUCAUGGAUAAUCCUGAACUGAGAUAUCGAGAGCUUCUUUCAUUUUUGUGCUCGCCUUUUCACAUAUUUUCAGUGGGAUCCCUCCAGAGUGGAACUAGUUAGAGAUGUUGAUGUUGAUCGUUACUACACCAAGAUAGAUGAUGAAGACUGGGAAGACCUAAAGCUGCCUCCAAGAUCAUACUUGCCUCCACAUGCAAUUGCAAAGCUUUAAAAUUCACUUCUGAAGAUCUUGCAAUACUCUACAGCAUGUUGCCCUAUGUUCACAAGAUCAUUAUGAAGGCAUCAAUGAUUAUUAAAAUAGUAUUAGAUUCAUUGCAAAAUGGUACACCAAAUAAAUGCAUAUCAAUCAUUCCAUUGAAUUGAGAUCUCAAACCUCAAGCACAAGGGUUGAUUGUACAAUACUAAAUAAUACUUCGCCAUAUAUUUCUGUAUUCGGAGAUAAUGUAUUAAUCUUAAUUUAUUGCAAUGCAAGAACCUGCUACUAGUCUUGCUCUAAAUUAGCUGAUUUACAAGCAAAUGUGCAUCCUGUCUUGAAACACCAGCAGCAUGAAUUUUGAACUUGUGGUUUUUCUUAUCCUUGAUUUUGACUGAUGACAGUUGAGCUAAUUCUCUAAGCAAUAAAAAAAUUCAGUCUUGCCUUUUCUGAAAUCUACCUGUAUAGGUGUUAUGACCAACUUCAUCUUGUGAAUUUUUUUUGACGUUAUUAUGACUGGGGAUGGGGAUGGGGAAAUAGGGGAGGGGUUACAAGGUGGGAAUUUGAUAAGAGCUUAUGCCUUUUGGUGUUUUGAUGAUCUCCUCACAAGUGCAGGGACCUGGUCCUCCGCAGAGUAUGAAUACUCUUCCAGUUGUCAAAGUGCUGUACAGCUGUAAAAGCUGUCCGUGUCAGAAAGUUGGUGAAGCUGCAGAGUACUUCACCAAUCAGAAGCGAGGAGGUUGCGUGUACAUUGGACAAUAAUUCUUCUUGUCUAAUAUAUUCAACUAACAAACAACAAAAAUAUUCAUUCAUUCAAAAGGAGAGAGCCAACACGUAUUCUCAAGAACUUACAAAGAAAAGUUUGCAAGGGAUCUCGUCCCUGCAAGACUGCGAUAUAAAAGGUGACAAGACAGCCGUCAGAAAAGCUGUCACCUCUGACGCGGUACGUGAGCAACUUUUCAGAACAGCAGGCUUUCAGCCAAUAGGAGUGUUUCAAAGAGUUUGUGUUGAUUUAUAUCAUCUCUUUAUGCUUAUACACAAUCUUAAGACUUUGAAAAACAAAAACUCACAAGCUUAAAAGGAAAAAGCCAUCUUCAAGGUAGAACGAUACUUACACUCAACAAAAGGAUCUGAUAAAGGGCUGAAGCAUCUUUGUUGAGUUUGAGUUUUGUUGUCUAUCAUUUUAUAGGUUUUUGUCAUUUUGAAACUUAUCAAGUAUACAAGCAAAGACCAUUUUGGUGAAGUAUUCUCCAGCAAGCACAACAAGGACCUGAUCGAGCUGCAAGCGGCAGAGUGUGUCUUAGGAGUUUUACUUCCGUGCUUAUAUUGUAAAUCUGUUCCUAAUCUAUAAAGGAUUCAGAUUCUUGUGUUCGUUGUAAAAGUCUAAGUCAGUUGAGGCUAACUGAUUUAGUGGGCAGCAUUGGUUGCUGCUUAGUCAAAUUCUAAGUCAUCUAGGAGCUAGUUGAUUUAGUGGGCUGUGUAGUAUCCGCUUAGCAAAGUUUAAGUUAUCUAGGGGUGAUAGCUUAAAGGGCAAUGUUGUAUCUGCUCUGGCUCAUCUAAGUAAUAGGAAGUAUUGCUUAAGAGUUGGGAUUAGUAGGCUAAUCUCAGUUUGUAAACUUGCUUUUACUUUUGCUUGAGAAGAUUAGUGAAAGCAAUUUUUUUGAAAAGUCCUGACAGGCCAGGUCGUGGUUUUACUCCCUUGAGCAAGAAGGUUUCCACGUAAAGUUGUUGUGCAAUCUUUACUUUCAGCACGUUGUUUAUUUUUUGUUAUUUUAACUGUGCUGAGGACCUGGUCCCAUCUAGACCAGUGGACGCAUACAUUCCAACAAGUGGUAUCAGAGCGGUACUUUUCAUUUUGGUUAACACCAAGAAAAGAAAAGAUCCAAAAGGAAUGGUUGCUCCACCUAAUAUGGAAGAAGGUCAGUCUUUUACUAGGCCACCGCGUUUUAAUGGUCAAUAUUAUGGCUGGUGGAAGAAUCGAAUGCAUGAUUACAUCAACGCUGAGGACACUUAGUUGUGGGACAUCAUUCUUGAUGGACCAUAUAUUCCUACAAAGGAGGUGAAGGAUGGAGAACUCACCACUACAGUUGUCAGAACUAGAAAGGAGUACAAUGAGAUGGAUAGGAAAAAGAUAGAGAAGAACUAUAAAGCAAAGAGAUUCUAGUGUGUGGGAUUGGAUCCGAUGAGUACAACAGAAUUUCUGCCUGUGAAUCAGCCAAAGAGAUAUGGGACCGUCUCCAAACAGCCCAUGAGGGAACACAAUGAGUAAAAGAGUCUAAGGUCGAUAUGCUUACAACUCAAUACGAGAAUUUUUGUAUGAAGGAAGGUGAAACUAUCCUUGAAAUGAACUCAAGAUUCACUUCCAUCACCAACGAACUAAGAUGCUUAGGUGAGCCCAUUCUCUUAAGCAAACAAGUUCGCAAGAUUCUCAAGGUUCUUCCCAAGUCAUGGGAAAGCAAAGUUGAUGCUAUAACAGAGGCAAAAGAUCUGAAGACACUUUCCAUGGAUGAGCUGAUUGGAAAUCUCCAGACCUACGAGCUGAACAAAAAGUAGGGGACAAACAUGAAGGAGGGAAAAAAAGAGAAAUUUAUUGCUCUGAAAAACUCACAAAAUGAUGCGACUCAGGAGGAGGAUGAAAUGGCAUAUGUUACUAAAAGGUUUCAGAAAAUCAUCAAGAAACAUGACGUCUUUCAAAAGAAGGCUUCGACCAGCAGAGCAGCAAACGCAAAUGACCUUUGUCAUAAAUGUGGCAAACCUGGUCAUUUUAUGAGGGACUGUCCCAGCCAGAAGCAGGAAACUCAGGAUUUCAAACCUCGCAAGAGGGACCUGGUCCCAGACAAUGCUCGGAGAAAGGCUCAUGCUAAUCAAUUGGUGAGAAAAGCCUUUGUUGUAUGGGGAAAUGAUUCAAGUGAGUUAGAAGAAGAUGCAGAAAGUUAUGAAGAUGUUUCAAUGAUGGCUAUUAAAGAUGAUGAAAAUGUCUUCAAUUCCAUCUUCUUAUUAAUGUCAAAGUCUGAUGAUGAAGAUGAUCUAAAUGAGGUAACUCUUUUUGAUCUUAAAGAUGAUCUAGAUACUUUUCCCAUUAAAAAUUUAAGGAAACUUGUUGCAUUGCUUAUUGACUCUGUUGAUGAACGAACCACUGAAAACUUAAUGUUGAAUGAAAAAUAAGUUUGUGUGAGGAUGAGAACUCUGCUCUCAUGUCUCAAGUUUCUGAAAUGAGUGUAAGAAUAGGGACUAUAGAAACGAACAACAUUAUACCUGAAGAGGAUCCUGGUACCUCAGUAGGUGGAAAAAGAAAGCUUAGCAUCUUUGAGGAAGAACUGGAAGAAAAGCUUAAAAUCCUUGAGUCCAAGUUAGUUGCUUCUCUUGAAACAAAUUCUCAACUGAGAAAGGAUCUGAGUAAGGUCAAAGAGGAGUUAAGUCACUCUCUAAAAUGGACUAACUCUUUUAAGAUACUCUCUAAUCUAUCUAAUCAGAGUUUCAAUGGAAAGAAAGGGUUGGGACGCAGACCAAUAAAACCUCCUUAUAAUUCUCAUAGCAAAUAUGUGUCUGUAUCUGACAAUCUGUUGUGCACUCACUAUGGGCGUAAUGGUCAUCUAAAAGAAAAGUGUUUGACUCUGAGAAAAGCAAAAGUAAAGCAUGAGAAAUUUGUGAGAUCUGAAAACAAUGAUAAAAGGGAACUCAAGGGACCUGGUCCCCGUUAUCAUUUCAGUAAGAACACUUUGCCCUCCUGGACAGGAAGGUUUCUUAUUAAGCCUUUUGAUAGCUAUUGGGAACUACGUCUGAAGUGGGUUCCCAAGUCUAAUAAGUGAUUCUUGUGCAGAAGAGAGGGAGAAGUCAAUGUUGGUACAUGGAUAGUGGAUGCUCAAGGCAUAUGACUGGAAAUACUCUAAACUUCCUCUCUUUGGAAGCACACCAAGGUGGUGGUGUGUCAUUUGGCGGUGGAAAGAAAGGUUUUAUUCUUGGUAUUGGCAAGAUAGGAAGAACUCCAGAUCAUUCCAUAGACAGUGUACACUAUGUGGACGGUUUGAAGUUUAAUCUCUAAAGUGUGUAUCAUAUUUGCGACAAGGAAAAAUGAAGUCAAGUUCAUAUCUGAAGGGUGUGUGGUUACAAACUGUGCAAUUAAGAAAAUUGUAAUGUCUGCAAAAAGAGUCAAGAAUGUGUAUGUUGUUGAUCUUGANNNNNNNNNNNNNNNNNNNNNNNNNNNNNNNNNNNNNNNNNNNNNNNNNNNNNNNNNNNNNNNNNNNNNNNNNNNNNNNNNNNNNNNNNNNNNNNNNNNNNNNNNNNNNNNNNNNNNNNNNNNNNNNNNNNNNNNNNNNNNNNNNNNNNNNNNNNNNNNNNNNNNNNNNNNNNNNNNNNNNNNNNNNNNNNNNNNNNNNNNNNNNNNNNNNNNNNNNNNNNNNNNNNNNNNNNNNNNNNNNNNNNNNNNNNNNNNNNNNNNNNNNNNNNNNNNNNNNNNNNNNNNNNNNNNNNNNNNNNNNNNNNNNNNNNNNNNNNNNNNNNNNNNNNNNNNNNNNNNNNNNNNNNNNNNNNNNNNNNNNNNNNNNNNNNNNNNNNNNNNNNNNNNNNNNNNNNNNNNNNNNNNNNNNNNNNNNNNNNNNNNNNNNNNNNNNNNNNNNNNNNNNNNNNNNNNNNNNNNNNNNNNNNNNNNNNNNNNNNNNNNNNNNNNNNNNNNNNNNNNNNNNNNNNNNNNNNNNNNNNNNNNNNNNNNNNNNNNNNNNNNNNNNNNNNNNNNNNNNNNNNNNNNNNNNNNNNNNNNNNNNNNNNNNNNNNNNNNNNNNNNNNNNNNNNNNNNNNNNNNNNNNNNNNNNNNNNNNNNNNNNNNNNNNNNNNNNNNNNNNNNNNNNNNNNNNNNNNNNNNNNNNNNNNNNNNNNNNNNNNNNNNNNNAUCAGUUUGAGAGGAGCAAAGUGUGGCACCUGGUCCCCCGACCUAUCAACAGAACAAUUUUUGGAACAAGAUGGGUCUUCAGAAACAAACUUGAUGAACAUGAAACCAUUACUAGAAAAAGUCAAGGCUUGUGGUGCAGGGGUACAACCAAGAGGAGGGGAUUGACUAUGAUGAGACUUUUGCUCCUAUAGCCAGAAUGGAAGCCAUCAGAAUUCUGAUAGCAUGUGCUGCUCAUAUGGAAUUUAAGCUCUCUCAAAUGGAUGUCAAGAGUGCCUUCUUGAAUGAGAAUCUGAAGGAAGAAGUGCAUGUCAAACAGCCUCUAGGCUUUGAAGAUACAGAACUACCAAAUCAUGUGUUGAAGUUAGACAAGGCUCUGUAUGGGUUGAAACAAGCUCCCAGAGCUUGGUAUGAACACCUAUCAAUAUUUCUUCUUGCAAAUGGGUUCAAAAGAGGAAUUUGCUGAUCUGAUGAGCAGUGAGUUUGAAAUGAGCAUGACAGGAAAAACUCACUUUCUUCUUAGGCCUGUAAAUCAAACAGUCUGUCAGGAUAACUCUAUAUGUCAAGAGAAAUACAUCAAGGAACUGCUUUGAAAGUUCAAUCCGAUUGAGGCAAAAGUUCUUGACACUCCCAUGAGCAUAAGUGUGAAGCUUGACUUAGAUGAAGAUGGAGUUGAGGGAUGAGUGCAAGAUGAGGCUGGGGAUGCAUAAGAUUACCUGAUUCAUUGACAAGUUUGCACAAAAAUCUUCUAUUUUGAUUAUGUUACGGAGGGAAGGUAUCUAUACUUGUUUUAAUGCUUGUCACUUAAGAAUUCACUUCUGGUACCUUAAUGUAGGUAUACACUCAUGGUGUGUCUAGCUGAAGGGAAGAUUAAAUCAUACUGACAUGGUUGCAAACUGAAAAGGGGACCUAGUCCUCCUAAGGUUAGUAUCACUUACGCUACACUGUCUGUAUGUCAACAUCACUGCCACGUGUCCCUCGCCCAUUCAUCGCGUCAGUUUCAAACGUCUUUUUGCUUAUAAACCAAAGGUCACUACUGUUUGGGGAUCCGAUGUCUUUUUGGUUUUAUAUACUACUUCUCUUAGUGAAUCAAAUUACAAAAUCUCUUCAAACAAUUCUUGUUGAAAUUCACUAAUCCCCUUUCCAANNNNNNNNNNNNNNNNNNNNNNNNNNNNNNNNNNNNNNNNNNNNNNNNNNNNNNNNGAAAUGACAAGGGAGGAAUUCGAACAAUUGAAGGUUGAAAACUAUCCAGUGACUUCACUAAACUUGCCACAAAAUGUGGAGAUGUCAAGAAUGUAGGGUUACCAAAAGGGUUUCUCAAGGGGAAUAUCAGUUGUUGUUUUUUGUUGUUCAUCAACAAGGUGUUAGUUCCUAGAACUAAAAUGAGAACAUUAGCAUCUGUUGUUGAUCUUUUUCACAUGGAGAAGCUUGAUGAACUUGAAGAUAUCAAUAAGGAGGUUGAAAUCGCUUCACUGAGGUCUGAAUUACAGAAGGCGGUUUCGAGGGGACCUGGUACCAGCGAUGGAAAUGAGCAAGUGUUGCAAAAGUUAGGGAUGAAAAUGAAAGGCUGCUGAAGACAAAUGCCUCACCCAGUGAGGAAGUUAAGGCUCUCAACAGGCAGCUUAUCAAGGCUUAUGAGGAUGCAAAUGAGUGUCUGUCUCUAUUUAUGCGCACCCCCACUCCCCUUCCCCUUCCGUCCUAAAAGUGUCUUGUUUCCUUAGUUUUCCCUUUUGUUCUUCAAUCCUAAUUAAAACUCUUGUGGCUUUAUGUUUUGUUGUCUGACUACAGUGGUCAGUAUAUGUGAUCUAAUAUUAUUUAUGGUUCUGCCUUGUUAAUGUGUGGCUUAAUAUUCUCUUUAUGCUUACAUACACAUGUUCUGUGUGGCCCAAGGCCCUGAAUUCUUUAUUUGCCUUGCAUUUAACUUGAAUAUGUUUACUGCUUCACCUUUUCAAUGAUGUCAAAAGGGGGAAGUUUUGUUGUAAAGUUGGUUGUGGAAUAGGGGCACUGAACUAAGGGGGAACUGUGGUUGUUAUGGGCAUUGAACUAAGGGGGAACGAACUGUAGUUGUUACUGGUGCACUAACAAAGGGGGAAUUUGUUAUGUAUUUGAAUGAAUGUUUGUUCACUCACGUGAGGAGUUAUGCAGGUUGUUUGUCAUCAUCAAAAAGGGGGAAAUUGAUAAGUGUUUAUGUUCCUAGAUGUUUUGAUGAUCUCCUCACUAGGAGCAUUGAACUAAAGGGGAACGAAUUGUGGUUGUUACUGGUGCACUAACAAAGGGGGAAUUUGUUAUGUAUUUGAAUGAAUAUCUGUUCACUCACGUGAGGAGUUAUGCAGGUUGUUGGUCAUCAUCAAAAAGGGGGAAAUUGACAAGUGUUUAUGUUCCUAGAUGUUUUGAUGAUCUCCUCACAAGGGCAGGGACACCAAUUAAGGGGGAAACACAAGUUAUUGAAUGAAUGUAUGUUCACUCACGUGAGGAGUUAUGCAGGUUGUUUGUCAUCAUCAAAAAGGGGGAAAUUGAUAAGAGCUUAUGCCUUAUGAUGUUUUGAUGAUCUCCUCACAAGUGCAGGGACCUGGUCCUCCGCAGAGUAUGAAUACUCUUCCAAUUGUCAAAGUGCUGUACAGCUGUAAAAGUUGUCCGUGUCAGAAAGUUGGUGAAACUGCAAAGUACUUCACCAAUCAGAAGCGAGGAGGUUGCGUGUACAUUGGACAAUAAUUCUUCUUGUCUAAUAUAUUCAACUUACAAACAACAAAAAUAUUCAUUCAUUCAAAAGGAGAGAGCCAACACGUAUUCUCAAGAACUUACAAAGAAAAGUUUGCAAGGGAUCUGGUCCCUGCAAAACUGCGAUAUGAAAGGUGACAAGACAGCCGUCAGAAAAGCUGCCACCUCUGAUGCGGUAGGUGAGCAACUUUUCAGAACAACAAGCUUUCAGCCAAUAAGAGUGUUUCAACGAGUUUGUGUUGAUUUAUAUCAUCUCUUUAUGCUUAUACACAAUCUUAAGAUUUUGAAAAACAAAAACUCACAAGCUUAAAAGGAAAAAGCCAUCUUCAAGGUUUUUGCAUUUCCAUCUUCAAGGUAGAACGAUACUUACACUCAACAAAAGGAUCUAAUAAAGAGCUAAGCAUCUUUGUUGAGUUUGAGUUUUGUGUCUAUCAUUUUAUAGGUUUUUGCAUUUUGAAACUUAUCAAGUAUACAAGCAAAGACCAUUUUGGUGAAGUAUUCUCCAGCAAGCACAACAAGGACCUGAUCGAGCUGCAAGCGUCAGAGUGUGUCUUAGGAGUUUUACUUCCGUGCUUAUAUUGUAAAUCUGUUCCUAAUCUAUAAAGGAUUCAGAUUCUUGUGUUCGUUGUAAAAGUCUAAAUCAGUUGAAGCUAACUGAUUUAGUGGGCAGCAUUGGUUGCUGCUUAGUCAAAUUCUAAGUCAUCUAGGAGCUAGUUGAUUUAGUGGGCGGUGUGGUAUCCGCUUAGUUUGCUUGAGAAGAUUAGUAAAAGCAGUUUUUUUGAAAAGUCCUGGCAGGCCAGGUCGUGGUUUUACUCCCUUGAGCAAGGAGGUUUCCACGUAAAGUUGUUGUGCAAUCUUUACUUUCAGCACGUUGUUUAUUUUCUGUUAUUUUAACUGUGCCGAGGACCUGGUCCCAUCUAGACCAGUGGACGCAUACAUUCCAACAGAAUUGAACUUUCACCAAUAAGGUGAACGUUCAGAAAGACGGUUACUGAGCUACUAAGAUUUCUUUGACUUGACAGAUUCCUUCUUUUCCACUUGAUUCUUUUCCAAUUAAGACCUGACUGUGUAGAUCUUUUUUAUUGAUUAACAAAAAUAUGUAAAAUCAUAGUAUUCUCAAUUUUCGUCUCAAAUAUUUUCAGUUGUACAUAAAUCCUAGUAUCAUGUCAGACUAUGGAUUAACUUGGGAUCAAUUGUGGCUCUAAGCAACGUGUUACGACUAGGGAUAGUCUUGGAUCUUAACAUUGCCAUAGUUGUCAAAGUUUGUUUUGAGAAUGUAUUCAACGUCAACAGGGUCAGAACUCAGAAGUAUCAAUCUUCUUCCUGAGAGGGCUAAUAAAUCUGUAAGUCUUGUACUUGCCAGCGAGAUCAGUCAUGUAAUGGUGCAACCUAUGGAUUACUCGUGAACAGUAAACAACAACGACGUAAGUUAAUAUUCAUGCAACUUCUAUCCGUGGUUCUUUCUUUGAAGCUAGAGAACAAAAUUGAAAUUCUACAAUCACUUUCUCCUGAAGUGUGGUCAGGGAAAGGGAAACAAUUGUUAUUCCACUGAAAAUCACAAACUUACAUGGCAUGAAAGCACUUGGGGAGGAAGGUAAAACAAUGAAAAUGUGAAUGUGUAACAAUGAUACAUACCAUACACAGCAAACCUUAUUUCAAUGCACUUGCAUCAUCAAAUGCAUCGCUAAACUUUUUGCCUUCUUCAUUUGAACCACACAUGCUGUCUAGCUCAACUCCAAAAGCAACUCUGAAUAUAGAAUCUAGAGAUGCUUUCAUGAAUAGAUCCUACAUCGAUCACACUAGUAUUACUCAUUUGAUUAUAAGAAAAAACAAGGCACUGUCUACUAUCAUGGACUUACUUGAAUGUCUACUAUCUUGUUGGAUUUGACAGCUUCAGACAAUAUAUGGGCAAACUUAGCUGCAUUUUUUCUGAAUACCACACUACUAAAAUCCCUCAAGACCCUUGUGGAGAAGUCAUGGCUCGACAACUUCCUCUGCUCCCGCCACUUAUCAGCAUCAACUGUGAAAAUUCCAACCCUUAACAAGUCCUUUAGGAUGUAGUAAUUAUACCCUCCCUGCAGAAAUUCGUAAACUCAAGUUUGGCAAUCAGAAAAUCUUUAUAUCAUUCUGUUACAUCUAUUGAGAGAUCCAUAUAUAGGAGUUGAGGCAUUAUGGUAGCUUCUCAACUUCACAUGUAAAUAUAUGACACUUGGACCAAACUCAAUUCCAAAAGCUAAUUCACGAGGAGAGUAUUUCCCAAAUAUAUAUAAGCAGAUCACCAGUUCAUUCCGUGACCAAUAUGGGACUCUAAACCGUUCUAACAAAUUACUAAAUAAUGGGGCUUUUUAGAAUCAAUCAAAUUACAACAUAAAAGAUACAUUACUGGGGAUGUCAAGAUCAAAAUGGCGUACCUUGCCAUAGUUUUCAAAGUUUGUUUUCAAAAUAUAUUCGAUGUUAGCAGGGUCAGAAGUACAAAUCCUAUUCUUGAAAGGGCUAAUAAAUCUGUAAGUCUUGUACUUGCCAGCAAGAUCAGUCAUGUAAUGGUGCACCCGGUGGAAAUUGAUAAGCAGAUUGAAAACGGUGCCACCAAUUGGAUGGUAUCUUUUUUUUUCAUGUAAUUUUUUGGUCAGAAAAUGAAGUAUGAAUACACAAAAUAAGAGAAGUGAGAUAAUGGUGGCUGUUAUGGAUAUAAUAGAGUUAUGAAGAAUAUCCAUGCAAACCACUUCCGUAUCCUUGCACAGCAGGGGCGAAUUUAAGUGUAAAAAAUGGUCACCCGAACCGUGGUCAUCCGACAAAACUCGAUAUAUUAUUAUUAUAAUUCUUAAAAUAUACUAAAUAUUAAAUAAAGGAACCCAUGAUCAUAAUUCAUAAAUAACUGGAUGGUUCACUGGUUCAAGGGUUGGUUUUUGAUUGUGAGGUUAAGGGUUCGAUUCCAAGGACCUCUUUUUAAAAAUUAAUUAAAAAGCACCAUUGUUUGUUACUUUUUUGAAAAGUUCUCAUUUUCUUUUUAUAUAGUGAACUUUUUAAAUUUCUUGAGAUGCAAAAUUGCAUAUAUUUUUUUUAUUUUUUUUAUAAAUGGUUUCUUUUAAUAAUUCUUUUUCAAUCGAUAAUUCAUAUAUCAAUGCAUUUAAUAUUUUUUGUGACAUAGUACUCGAGAUAUAUCAAACUUCUAAUAGUUUUUUCCUUUAAUAUUAUUUUUUCCCGCAAAUCGUAUUUAAUAGUUUUCUUAUUAAAAACCUAUAAUCUAUUAUUGCUAAAAUAAAUAAGACCCUCAAAUUUGUGAGCCUAAAGUGAUUACCUUUUUCUUAAAGGGGCCGAGCUGCCCCUGUCAAUGGUGUACCCGUCUUUUUUGAAAUCCUGAAUUCACCUCUGCUACACAUAUUUGACUUAUAAUACACUCCCCGUUUCAAUUUGAUGGUGUGUUUAUUACCAGCAGAUACACAUAACGUAUCAAAAUAUUUUCUAAUUUUAUGAUCUCAAACAUGUUGAAAUUAAAUAAUUACAAAAAAAUAUACAUUCUUUUUAAAUUAAUUUAAAAGAAGAGUAUUUAAAAGCUUAUAUGUGUGGGCUACAAACAGGGGGAGACCUAGAGGUAGUUAGAGGGUUCACCGAAUUCCUAUUUUAAAGAAUUUUUAUGACUAUAUCUUGAAUGUGAUAUUAGAGGUUGGCUGAAUUCCCUCCAAUAAUAGCCAAACGUGAGGUUGAUCUUGCUUCUGUAUGGAAAUAAGUAAACAAAAAGUCAAACUCCUCUAGAUAUCAAAUUAAUCCCUCAAAUAAUAAUAGCCAAACGUGAGAUUAAUCAAAGUCAAACUCCUCGUAAAUCAAAUUAUGUGCUCAUUAUAUCAAUGUGGGCUAUGGCCAUCCUACAAUGAGCUACAAAUUUUCCACAUUCCUAACUUUAGCCAUGAUUUAUGAUCUGUUAUGUUUAUUUUAACUAAAUUAUAUAUACUUCGUUAAUAAUUAUAGCCAUUCAGUGCAUUAAUCCCUCAACUUGAUAAUCAUGCUAAAUGAGCGUAUGAAAUGGAUGAAUACUAGUGUUUUAACUUGUAUGUAUAAGAUUUUAUUUAUUUAUAUGUCGAAUACAACCUAUAGUAUCUUUCUUCUUUCUCCCAAAUCUCCCUCGACUUUCUCCUCUCUCUAAAUAUAACAUGUGUACGUAUAUCAUAUCUCCUCUCUAUCUCUCAAAUCUUGCUAACGUUUCUUCUCACUCUUUCCUAAUCCCGGCGCUUCUCUCCUCUCUUUAAUUAUAGCUAUGAACCGUAAUUAGGCAAACUAUAAUUAAUGAAGAUAAUUAUAGUUGCUCUAUUUAAAACUCAAAUUAGUCGUUGAAUAAAAAAAGUAAAAAAAUACUCAUGUGUAAGAAUGAUCAAAUAUCCCAUGAAUUUGGUGAUAAGGAUCAAAUAUACCCUUAUAUGAAUUUUAUUUUAAAAAAUCAAAAUCACAUUUCACUUUUGUUAGCGGAAAAAGAUAUAUCUGGACUAUUUGUGUAAUAGUAGAAAUAUAUGUGAGCCUCUUUUUUAAGGAGGAAUACGUCAGCUCUAAAUCCAAAGUUAAAGAGUAAAUCAAAUCAUUUUCUCAAUUAAAAUUCUAAUAGAUUUAGGUGAUGCAAGAUGGUAGUCAAUGAAUUCUCUAAUAGAUCAAUCUUCUGUUCUUGUGAAAGGCGGAUUAAAGUGCCACUAAAAUGUUGUUCAAAAUUUUGAUUUCAAUUCAUUGUUUCUCCAAUAACCUAAACUUUACAUCAAAUUCAAUUCAUUAUGUAUAAUCGAUCUAUCUAUAUUAAUACAUUUACCAAACAGACUGUUAUACUCUAAUUUACCAUGUAGAAUGUGUAUCUAUUUAUUCGACUUUAUAUAAUUUAAGUGUAUUUGAAUACAUCCAAAAUUGGAUGGUAUAGAUGUUAGUUGAAGCCAAAAUUAAAUGAUAUAUUUAUGUAUUAUGUCUUUCUUUUUUUUAAUUUGAUAAGUCUUUAAUUCUAACUUUCCACCUGUCAUGUUUAAAAUCACAAAAUUAAAGAGCAUUUUGAUACAUUCUAUACAUACUCCAUCUGUCCCUAAUUACUUGUCCAUUUUGACAAAUCAAGAAAAGACAAAAAGAAUUUACCUAUUAUACUCUCAAUUAACUACUUUGAAAAAGGUAAAACUGCUUGAAAAUCUUAAGUUUUAAUUCAUCAACUUCAUAAUUAAUAGGGGUAAAAUGAGAAAUUUACUGUGUCACUUAUUUUUUCUUAAUAAAUGUGUCAAUUCAAAAGUGGACAAGUAAUUAGGGACACAGAGAAUAUCUUUUAACGGACUAAUAGUAAUUUUUAUAUUUCAAAGUUGUGGUCUGUGGUCUCUAUAAAUAGAACGAGUCAGCCUGUGAAGAAUAUAUGAGCAUUGAAAAGUGUUUUAUUGGUAAAAUAUAGUUGGAGUUUGUGUAAUUUGAGACGAUGGAUUUAAUAUUGGCAUCGAAAAAAGCAGAUAAAACAAUGAUGGAAGUUGAAGGAGUUGGUGGAUAUUACGGUUGGUCAAAUAGCCAAUUUCCUCUUCUCAGCCAAAAAAAACUUUCUGCUGGAUUAUUACUUCUGCAGCCUCAUGGUUUUUCUCAACCUUACUAUUCUGUUUCCUCAAAAAUUGGUUAUGUUUGUGAAGGUACGUAUGACUAUCUGAGAUAUUAUCUCGACAUACACAGUAGUUAUUGGAGUCACACUUAAUUAUAUCGUCUUGGACAAUCCUUUCUUAUUAAUUAGUAUAAUUUUCACAGGUGAAUGCAUUGUUGGAUUGAUAUCACCGGAAGAUUCAAAAGAAGAAGUUAUAAAAUUACAAAAAGGGGAUGCCCUACCACUUACCUUUAAAACAGUGUCAUGGUGGUACAAUAAUGGCGACUCUGAAUUCAAAAUAAUUUUCUUAGGAGAAUAUGAUGACGAAUACACACCUGGAGAAUACUGCGGUUUCUGUUUAGGUGGAUUCAUCGGCACUCUAAAUGGAUUCUCUGAUGAAUUCAUAGCUAAAUCUUUUCACAUGACCAAAACUGAAUCUGAAAAACUUAUAAAAGACCAAAGUAGAACUAAUCUUUUAAUUAAGAUCAAUGAAGGCACAAAAAGGCCACACCCAUGCAACAAACUUUAUUUCCAUGUUAUUUGGUACUUGAUAGGCUUAUUUUGUUUAUUGAUGUCAUAAACAACAUUCAGGCAGAAUUGGAGUAAUACUAAUAGACAAUAUACAUAUUAUUGUAAAGUCUUUCUAAUUUCACUGUCUGUGAAAGACGCGAACAUGCAAUCCCCCAUCAAUGUGAAGACUAAUCAUUGUUCUGUAGUUGACAGUCUUCUCUUCAUCACUCAACCUGAAAACGAAGUAACGUAACAACAAAGCAGAUAAUAUCUUCAUUUGCCUAUAGGCAAACUCCUUCCCCAAGCAGAUCCUUGGCCCUGCCUGUUUUAUCAACAAAGGAAUGGGCUUAGCUAGUUAUAAUAAGAAAAUAUACAGGCACUAGAAAAAUUAAGUAUUGCCUCGCGUUCAAGGAUCUAACAAAUGAUAAUUAAAGCUAAUAACGUGCUUUGACCAACCUGGAAAGCUGUAAAUUUGAAGGGGUUCUCAGGCCUGAAGAAACCAUCCCCAUCAAGCCAUCUCUCUGGUUUAUAUUCUUCUGCAUCAUCACCCCAUAUAAAUUUCAUUCUUCCCAUUGCAUAUGAUUGGUAAGCCACUAUGUCCCCUUUGUUCACAUUGAAUCCAUCUGGUAAGGUGUCAUCCGAAAAACAUAUUUUCCCAUUCUGCAGUAAGAAGAAAAACAAAAACAACAACUUUAUAACAUGCAUCUAAUUGGCCGGUGAUGUAUGAUAAAAGAAGUUCUUUAUUACCACUGGAACUGCAGGAUAGAGCCUAAGGGUCUCGGUCAAUGCUGCAUGAAGAUAUUGCAUCUUUUCAAGGGCAUCUUCACUUACAUUGGCAGCAAAAUCCAUUAUGUCUGUUGCAUCUUGUUUCUCAUUUGUUGCUUCUUUAAUAUCCUGUGCUACUUUCUCCUGUACAUGAGGAUAUUUGCAUAGCACAUAUAUGAACCAAGAAAGGGUGGUUGCUGUUGUAUCUUUGCCUGCUAUUAUGAAGUUCAACAUUAUAUCACGCAAAUACUUUGGAUCUGUUUCAGCUGUUUGAAGAAACCUUGACAAAGUGUCUUCUUUCUUCCAUUGCAACUGGAAAAAGAUUAUAAUGUCUAAUUAGCAUCUGUCCACAUUAAUAAAAGUAGUAGAUAUAAGACGAUUAACCUACAGAUAAAUCAGCUUCUGGUUUGCUCAUCUGUUCAGUUUUUCUGUGGAUCAGCUUAUAAACAAACUCAUCAAUAGUUCUUAUAUUGUCUCUUAACUUGGCUUCUGAUCCGAUAUUGAGAAAUCUUUUAAUCUUCCAUAAGAUAUCAACAAAUCUCCAAAGUGUCAAUUCACUUGCAUCGUCAAAUGCAUUGAUAAAUUUUUUGCCUUCAUCAUUUGAACCACACAUGCUGUCUAGCUCAACUCCGAAGGCAAUUCUGAAUAUAGAAUCUAGAGUUGCUUUCAUGAACAGAUCCUACAUCGAUAAAACUAGGAUUAUUCGUCUGGUAAGAAUAAAUAAGGCACCAUUCUGUGAAGUCGAUUUGUGGACUUACUUGAAUGUCUAUUAUCUUGCUGGAUUUGACAGCUUCAGACAAUAUAUGGGCUAACUUUGCUGCAUCUUUUCUGAAUACCACACUGCUAAAAUCCCUCAAGAUCCUUGCGGAGAACUCGUGGCUCAAAAACUUCCUCUGCUCCCGCCACUUAUCACCAUCAACUGUGAAAAUCCCAUCCCCGAACAGGUCCUUUAGGAUGUUGUAACUAUACCUUCCCUGCAGAUUAUUCGAAAAACUCAAGAUUGACAAUUCGUUAUACCAUGUUGUCAUAUCUAUUGGGAGAUCCAUAUAGCCAGCUGCAACUUAUGUGGGAGUAUUAUUUUUACAUGUUUUCCUAAUUUAAAAUUUUCUAGUUUGAUUUUACUAUUUAUUAUUUUCAUAGAAAGCAGGAUUCAAAAUCAAAUGUCAUGCUAUUUGGGAUAGGUUUCCUUAUAUAUAGUUGUGGAUUUUGUUAUUUUUCAUUAGACACGAUUAUUAUGAAAAUAUUAUUUGAGAAGCUUCUCUGGUUUACAUCUUUUCAGUAUCAAUCAAAUUCUAACAUUAAAAAAAGAUUAUCUGAGAUGUCAAGAAAAUGGAGUACCUUGCCAUAAUUUUCAAAGUUUGUUUUGAGAAUGUAUUCGACGUUAGCAGGGUCAGAAGUAAAAAUAUCAUUCCUGAAAGGGCUAAUCAAUCUGUAAGUCUUGUACUUGCCAGCAAGAUCAGUCAUGUAAUGGUGCAACCUGUGGAAGUUGAUGAGAUGAUUAAAAAUGGUGCCGCCAACGGGAUGGUACCUCUUUUUUACAUGUACUUUUUUGGUCAGAAGAUGAAGUAUGAACACACAAAAGACAAGUGAAAGAAUUAUGGCUGUUAUGGAGAUGGAGUUCUGAAGAAUAUCCAUGGAAAUACUAAGGCACUAACGUAUCCUUGUGCAUGUUUGGCUUAUAAUGUAUUAUUUAAUGUGUCAUGGGAGUAGAUGCUGGUCCAUCUAAUGCUUAGAUAAUUUAUGGCUCCAUUAGGGACCAUCUCAUAAAACCAAAGACUAAGAUUAUCAACUUGAAAUACAAUCAUAUUAUUAAAGUUUCCUUUUUUGACUUAAUUCAUCUUCAAGAUUUGGUCCACAGUAACAUAGGCUUGGUUUUCUUCGAAAAUGUUAGGGUUAGGCAUUUGAUUUUUGAGAGAUACAAAAAAAAAAUCAUUGGUUUAUCAAAUUAUCUGUCGAGCCAGCAUAAAUUUGAAGUGUUUUAUAUGGUAUCAUUUGCUUCCAAAUCCUCUCCAAGAAUUGUAUUGUUCAAAAGCCAGAAUAACAUUUGAUACUGUUAUGUGUAUUCCAUGUGUUAAUUAAUACAAACGAAAAGAGAAAUAAGCUCAAAUAGAAAAUGAAAGUUGGAGGGAGAAAAACCUCUAAUGCUUAAGUUUUUUAUUUUCGAUACAAGAGUCUACAUGAUUAUUGGGGGAAAAGAUAAAAUGGACACUAUUUCAAGCCAACUAAUAACAGUAAAUGGUGUUGCUUUGAUAAAAAAAAAAGAGCAUAUAUAUAGGCGUAACUUAACUAUAAGGCAACUAAAGCAAUGACUUGUGGCACCAAUAGAAGAUUUAGCAUCUUCUCUCCUAAGGUGUGGUCAGGGAAGGGGUAACAAGGAAAAUGUGAAUGUGUAACAAUGAUACAUCCCAUAGAUAGAAAACCUUAUUUUCAUGCCAGGUUAAUGUUAUUUGAUAGGAUGUUGAUGUCAUAAACAACAUUCGGCCAGAACUGGACCGAUGCUAAUAUACUUUAUUACAUAUUUAUGUAAACUCGUUCUAAUUGCCCUAUCUACGAAAGACACGAACAUGUAAUCCCCCAUCAAUGUGAAGAUUAAUCAUUGUCCUGUAGUUGAUAGCCUUCUUGUCAUCACUCAACUCGAAAACAAAGUAAUGUAACAACACAGCAGAGAAUAUCUUCAUCUGUCUAUAAGCAAACUCCUUCCCCAAGCAGAUCCUCGGCCCUGCCUGUUUUAUCAAUAAAAGAAUGUGCUUAGCUAGAUAGUUAAUGUGAAUAUGUGAUAGUAUAUAGGCACUAGGUUAAUUAUACAGAAUCGCGUCCAAGGCUUCAAUAAAACUGAUAACAGCUUUGACCAACCUGGAAAGCGGUAAAUUUGAAGGGGUUCUCAUGCCUGAAGAAACCAUCGCGAUCAAGCCAUCUCUCUGGUUCAUAUUCUUCUGCAUCAUCACCCCAUAUAAAUUUCAUUCUUCCCAUUGCAUAUGGUAGGUAAGACACCGUGUCCCCUUUGUUCACACUGAAUCCAUCUGGUAAGGUGUCAUCCGAAAAGCAUAGUUUUGUAUCCUGCACUAAGAGGAAAAACAAAAGUAACAACUUAAAGAAUACAUCUAUUUGGCUGGCUGUAUGAUAAAAGAAGUUCUUUAUUACCGCUGGAACUGCAGGAUAGAGCCUAAGAGUCUCUGUCAAUGCUGCAUGAAGAUAUUGCAUCUUUUCAAGGGCAUCUUCACUCACAUUAGAAGCAAAAUCAGUUACAUCUGUUGCAUUUUCUUUCUCAGUUACUGAUUCUUUAAUCUCUUGUGCUAUUUUUUCCUGUACAUGAGGGUACUUGCAAAGCACAUAUAUGAACCAAGAAAGGGUGGUUGCUGUUGUAUCUUUGCCAGCUAUUAUGAAGUUUAAUAUUAUAUCACGCAAAUACUUUGGAUCUGUAUCGGUUAUUUGCAGAAACCUUGACAAAAUGUCUUCUCUCUUCCACUGCAACUGGUAAAACAUUAGUAUUAUAUAUAAGCACCUAUCUGCAAUCUGCAUUAGUUAAAGUAGUAGCUAUAAGGCGAUUCACUUACAGAUAAAUCAGCUUCCGGUUUACUCAUCUCCUCAGUUUUUCUCUGGAUCAUCUUAUGAAUAAACACAUCGACAGUUCUUAUAUUUUCCUUUAAUUUGGAUUCUAAUCCGAUAUUGAGAGAUCUUUUAAUCUUCCAUAAGAUAUCAACAUAUCUCCGAACUGUCAAUGCACUUGCAUCAUCAAAUGCAUCGCUAAAUUUUUUGCCUUCUUCAUUUGAACCGCACAUGCUGUCUAGCUCAACUCCAAAGGCAACUCUGAAUAUAGAAUCUAGAGAUGCUUUCAUGAAUAGAUCCUACAUCGAUAACACUAGGAUUACGCAUCUGGUUACAAGAAUAAACAAGGCACCAUUCUGUGAAGUCGACUUGAUUCAUGGACUUACUUGAAUGUCUACUAUCUUGUUGGAUUUGACAGCUUCAGUCAAUAUAUGGGCAAACUUUGCUGCAUUUUUUCUGAAUACCACACUGCUAAAAUCCCUCAAGACCCUUGUGGAGAAGUCAUGGCUUGACAACUUCCUCUGCUCCCGCCACUUAUCACCAUCAACUGUGAAAAUUCCAUCCCCUAACAAGUCCUUUAGGAUGUAGUAAUUAUACCCUCCCUGCAGAAAAUUUGGAAACUCAAGUUUGGCAAUCCGAAAAUCGUUACACCAUUUUGUUACAUCUAUUGAGACAUCCAUAUAGCUAGCCGGUUGCAACUUAUGUAGGAGUUGAGGCAUCAUAAUUUACUGAUAUACCUUGACCUUGCAACGAGAGUAUUGCCCAUAUACAUAUAAGUAGAUCACCAGUUCAUUCCGUAACCAAAGUGGACUCUAAAAACAUUCUAACAACAAAUGUAAAUAUUACUAAAUAACAGGCCUUUUUAGAAUCAAUCAAAUAACAACAUAUAAUUUGGGGAUGUCAAGAUCAAAAUGGUGUACCUUGCCAUAGUUUUCAAAGUUUGUUUUAAGAAUGUAUUCGACGUUAGCAGGGUCAGAAGUAAAAAUCCUAUUCUUGAAAGGGCUAAUCAAUCUGUAAGUCUUGUACUUGCCAGCAAGAUCAGUCAUGUAAUGGUGCACUCUAUGGAAGUUGAUAAGCAGAUUGAAAACGGUGCCACCAAUUGGAUGGUAUCUCUUUUUUCCAUGUAAUUUUUUGGUCAGAAAAUGACGUAUGAACACACAAAAUAAGAGAAGUGAGAUAAUGGUGGCUGUUAUGUACAUAACUUACUCCCCGUUUCAAUUUAUUACCGGUAGAUACACAUAACGUAUCAAAAUAUUUUGUUCAAAUUAAAUAGUGACAAAAAAAAAAAAAAAAAGACAUUCCUUUUAAAUUAAUUAAAAAGAAGAGUAUUUAAAAGCUUAUCUGUUUGGGCUACAAACAGGGGCAGACCUAGAGGUAGUUAGGGGGUUCAUCGAAUUCCUAUUUUAAAGAAUUUUUAUGACUAUAUAUUGAUUUUGAACCUCUUGAACGUGAUAUUAUAGGUUGGCUCAAUUCCCUCCAAUAAUUGCCAAUCGUGAGGUUGAUCUUGCUUCUGUAUGGAAAUAAGUUAACAAAAAGUCAAACUCCUCUAUAAAUCAAAUUAAUCCCUCAAAUAAUAAUAGCCAAACAUGAGAUUAAUCAAAGUCAAACUCCUCGUAAAUCAAAUUAUGUGCUCAUUAUAUCAAUGUGGGCUAUGGCCACCCUACAAUGAGCUACAAAUUUUCCAUAUUCCUAACUUUAGCCAUGAUUUAUGAUCUGUUAUGUUUAUUUUAACUAAAUUAUAUAUACUUCGUUAAUAAUUAUAGCCAUUCAGUGCAUUAAUCCCUCAACUUGAUAAUCAUGCUAAAUGUACUAGUGUUUUAACUUGUAUGUAUAAGAUUUUAUUUAUUUAUACAUCGAAUACAACCUAUAUUUAGUAUCUUUCUUCUUUCUGCCAAAUCUUCCUCGACUUUCUCCUCUCUCUAAAUAUAACAUGUGUACGUAUAUCAUAUCUCCUCUCUAUCUCUCAAAUCUUGCUAACGUUUCUUCUCACUCUUUCCUAAUCCCGGCGCUUCUCUCCUCUCUUUAAUUAUAGCUAUGAACCGUAAUUAGGCAAACUAUAAUUACUGAUGAUAAUUAUAGUUUCUCUAUUUAAAACUCAAAUUAGUCGUUGAAUAAAAAAAAGUAAAAAAAUACUCAUGUGUAAGAAUGAUCAAAUAUCCCAUGAAUUUUGUGAUAAGGAUCAAAUAUACCCUUAUAUGAAUUUUAUUUUAAAAAAUCAAAAUCACAUUUCACUUUUGUUAGCGGAAAAAGAUAUAUCUGGACUAAUCAAAAUCACAUUUCACUUUUAUUAGCGGAAAAAGAUAUAUUUGGACUAUUUGUGUAAUGGUAGAAAUAUAUGUGAGCCUCUUUUUUAAUGAGAAAUACAUCAGCUCUGAAUCGCAAAGUUAAAGAGUAUAUCAAAUCCUUUUCUCAAUUAAAAUUCUAAUAGAUUUAGGUGAUGCAAGAUGGUAGUCAAUGAAUUCUCUAAUAGAUCAAUCUUCUGUUCUUGUGAAAGGCGGAUUAAAGUGCCACUAAAAAUGUUGUUCAAAAUUUUGAUUUCAAUUCAUUGUUUCUCCAAUAACCUAAACUUUACAUCAAAUUCAAUUCAUUAUGUAUAAUCGAUCUAUCUAUAUUAAUACAUUUACCAAAACAGACUGUUAUACUCUAAUUUACCACGUAGAAUGUGUAUCUAUUUAUUCGACUUUAUAUAAUAUAAGUGUAUUUGAAUACAUCCAAAAUUGGAUGGUAUAUAUGUCAGUUGAAGCUAAAAUUAAAUGACAUAUUUAUGUAUUAUGUCUUUCUUUUUUUUAAUUUGAUAAGUCUUUAAUUCUAACUUUCCACUGUCAUGUUUAAAAUCACAAAAUUAAAGAGCAUUUUGAUACAUUCUACAUACUCCCUCUGUCCCUAAUUACUUGUCCAUUUUAACUAAUCAAGAAAAGACAAAAAGAAUUUACUUAUUAUACUCUCAAUUAACUACUUUGAAAAAGGUAAAACUGCUUGAAAAUCUCAAGUUUUAAUUCAUCUACUUCAUAAUUAAUAAGGAUACUUAUUUUUUCUUAAUAUGUGUGUCAAUUCAAAAGUGGACAAGUAAUUAGGGACACAGAUAAUAUUUUUUAACGGACUAAUAGUAAUUUUUAUAUUUCAAAGUUGUGGUCUGUGGUCUCUAUAAAUAGAACGAGUCAGCCUGUGAAGAAUAUAUGAGCAUUGAAAAGUGUUUUAUUGGUAAAAUAUAGUUGGAGUUUGUGUAAUUUGAGACGAUGGAUUUAAUAUUGGCAUCGAAAAAAGCAGAUAAAACAAUGAUGGAAGUUGAAGGAGUUGGUGGAUAUUACGGUUGGUCAAAUAGCCAAUUUCCUCUUCUCAGCCAAAAAAAACUUUCUGCUGGAUUAUUACUUCUGCAGCCUCAUGGUUUUUCUCAACCUUACUAUUCUGUUUCCUCAAAAAUUGGUUAUGUUUGUGAAGGUACGUAUGACUAUCUGAGAUAUUAUCUCGACAUACACAGUAGUUAUUGGAGUCACACUUAAUUAUAUCGUCUUGGACGGUGGUACAAUGAUGGUGACUCUGAAUUCAAAAUAAUUUUCUUAGGAGAAUAUGAUGACGAAUACACACCUGGAGAAUACUGCGGUUUCUGUUUAGCUGGAUUCAUCGGCACUCUAAAUGGAUUCUCUAAUGAAUUCAUAGCUAAAUCUUUUCACAUGACCAAAAUUGAAUCUGAAAAACUUAUAAAAGACCAAAGUAGAACUAAUCUUUUAAUUAAGAUCAAUGAAGGCACAAAAAUGCCACACCCAUGCAACAAAGUGAAACACAAGUUGGUUUUUAACUUGGAUAGUGCUAAACCUUGUGUUGAGGUAAAAAAUGGUGGAGUUUUAUCUGCGGUAACUUGUAGGAAUUUACCAUUGCUUGGAGACGUUGGAUUAAGCGCGAAUCGCGUAGUUUUGGAAAGUGGUGCUUUAUUUGGUCCGAUUUUUACAGCGGAUUUAUCCGUUCAAUUGAGUUAUGUUACGAAAGGAAGUGGACGUGUUCAAAUUGUGGGACCUUUACGUAAGGUUGUGUUGGAUACUAAAGUGGAAGAAGGUGGAUUGUUCUUUGUUCCAAAAUUCUUUCCAUUUGUUGUAGAAGCUGAUGAAGGAGGAAUGGAGUUCUUCUCCGUCAUAACGUCAUCAAAGUAAGUACUAUUAUUUAUGAUAAUUGAUGCUAUAGUUCAGUUAAAAUAUAAUGUAUAUAUAUUUGCAGGCAAGUAUACGGAGAAUUAUCAGGUGGGAAAAAAUCAAUUUGGGAAGCAAUAUCUCCAUCAGUUUUAGAGGCCUCUCUAAAUAUGACUCCGGAUUUGACUGAGUACUUCAAAUCCAAGAUUGCUAAGGGUGCAGUGAUUGCUCCACCUUCAACAAUUUAAGUAAUAGUUACUUGUUAGACAUUUGAGAUGUGUACCUAUGUUUAACAAGUAUAAUAAUUUCAUGCUUGAAAAUAAAAUGGAUGAUGAAGUAGAUCUACACUACUACUUCGGUUAUUCCACAUAUGUAAGUAGAGUUGUCAAUAGCUAGCCCAGCUCUGUUAAAUCAUGGGUUAGGUCAGGCCGGCCUAACGGGCUUAGCCGUUAGUGACGACUCUAAAUGUAAGCAGCUUUUGUUUUAGCUUUUUCUGAAUGCGCGCAAGCUUAUAUGCUGCUGUGUGCCAGUAUGUGUAUGUUAUAUAUAUGAAUGUCUUCUUCAUCUUAAGAAUAAAAAGGAAAUGAAUUUGGUGGUUAGUUCAUGUUUACAUCUUGUUAAAUUAGUGUCCAUAAGACAUAUUUCACAUUUUUAUGAUCGAUAAGCAUUAAUAAUUGAGACACAUUUCACAUUUUUACAUUGUUAAUCUAUCUAUAUCUAUAUAUAUAUAUAUAUAAUAUAAUAUGGUCAUAAGUAAAGUAAUGUGAUACCUCUAUUUGCCCAAAAAUGACCUUUUAUCUAAACUAAACUCAUUAUAAAGAAGUCAACAUUUUAGUAUAGGUCAAAUAUAUUAUUGAAGUUGGCUUAUGAAACUAACGAAUUCAUUUAAAUUUGUUUUAAAAAAAAAUUCCCUGAGUUGAUCGAGUUAAUCAAAAAUAAUAUUUUUAUUCAAUACAAAAGUAAUAGAAUGACAGAUUUGUGUAUAUCCUUUUCUCGGACAUUUGUUCAUGUGAAAAGAUUUAGCUAUAAUUUCAUUAGAGAAUCCAUUUAUAAUACCGGUGAAUCCAGUUAAGAAGAAACCACAGUAUUCUCCAGGUGUGUAUUCAUCAUCAUAUUCUCCUAAGAAAAUUAUUUCGAGUUUAGACUCUCCAACAUUGUACCACCAUGACGCUUCAUUCAUGGUAACCAGUAGAAUAUCCCUUUUUUGUAAUUUUAUACUCCCUCUGUCCCAUAUGAACUGAUCACCUUUCUAAAAAUACUUGUCCCAACUAGUGCUGGCAAAAUGAGGUCAUAUUUUGGUAACCCGCUCAAUUCAUCCAUAUUUUAAUGGGUUGGGUGAAUGACUUUUUACAUGGAUAAAAUAUGGAUUGAUACCCAUAUUCAACUCAUAAAAAUAUAGGUAAAAUAUGGAUUAACCAAAUGAGUUAAGCUUCUAACUUUUUUUCACUCAAAAUUCAUGAUAUCACUAAAAAUAUUGUAAAUUAUCUUCCUUUUUAUGUUCUUCUAUAGAAAUAAUUAUUUUUCUCUAUAAUUAAAAAUGUGAAGUCUUUAGCCCUCCAAAAAUAUAUAUUUUAAAUGUACAUUUCUUUUUGUUAAUUAUAAUUAUUGUUUUUUUAUUUGUUUAAUUUUAUAUUAGAUAAUAAAUAGUAAAAUAAGUAAAUCAUGUAUUAGAAUUGACAUUGCUUAAAGUGCAUUAAGCAUUUUUUAGUCCUAAAAUGCAAAUAUUCAUUUACUUUGAAAUUAAAAAUAUUUUCCCCUUGUUUUUACAUAAAUAUAUUUUAUAUUGAAAGUUAUAGGAUAAUUUUUCGACUUUUAUGAUACAAUAAAACUAAUAAAACUAAAUGAAACAUUUUCAACAUUUUUCAUCUAUAAAGAGACUAAAAUAUUUUCUCCAUGUUGAAUUCUUAUGUAGAGUACUAUUUACUCAUGAAAAUAUGUGUAAACUAGUAUUUUACCCAACCUAUUUGUUACCCAAUCCAUUUUUACCCAUAUCAAAUAUGGGCGGGUUGAAUUAUUACCCAUUUUCAUUUUAUGUUAACCCAUUUUCAACCCGCCCAAAUUUGACCCAACCCGCCCAUUUGCCACCACUAGUCCCAACUCAUUUCACCCCUAUAAUUAAUAACAUCAUCAUGCUUAAUGUUUCCAUUAGGGGUGUACAAAAUCGAAUCAAAAAUCGAGUCUAACUGAACAAAAAACCCGACUAGUGGUUUGGUUUGACUUGGUUUGGUAUUGAAAAAAAAAACUCGAUUAUAUUUGGAUUGGUUUGGUUUUAACUAAAAAAACCAACCCGACAUUAUAUAUGUAAUUUUAAAUUUUUAUUUUAUACAUAAAGAUAUUUAUACUAUUUCGUAGUUUUUAUCUUUUAAUAUAUUAUUUCAAGUUUAAAACUUAGAAUUCUGAAUGGUUCAAUAAAGAUUAUANNNNNNNNNNNNNNNNNNNNNNNNNNNNNNNNNNNNNNNNNNNNNNNNNNNNNNNNNNNNNNNNNNNNNNNNNNNNNNNNNNNNNNNNNNNNNNNNNNNNNNNNNNNNNNNNNNNNNNNNNNNAAUUCAACACUAAGAAUGACAAUAAUAUUGAAUAUGUGUUCUUUAGUUUUAUAUUGGUUUAGACAAUUAAGAUACAUAAUUUAAUUUUAAUUAUCCUUAAAUAUUUAGUAAUGUAACUAAUACUUAUUAAACUUAUUUUAGCAUGAUUUAGUACUUUUAAAUUAUGAUCAUUUUCAUAAUGAAUUUGCAAUAUUUAUUUAUAUGAUAAUUUCAUUAUUAUUUUUUAUUGAAUAUUUUAGUGUCAUCACUCAUCUCAUAUUUUGUAUUAUUUUCUUAACAAACACCUUAGAUAAUUGUAUUUUGGGUUGAACUAAAGAAAUAUUUGGAGCAAAAUUCGACACAAUGGUUUGGUUUGGUAUUUGAAAAACCCGAACCAACCCGAGGUUAAAAAAUCUGAAUUUUAUUAGUUUGGUUUGGUUUAUAAAUUUAAAAUUUUUACUACAAAUGAUUUAGUUUGAUAUUUGAAAAACCCGAACCAACCUGGUCAUGUACACCCAUAGUUUCCAUAAUUUCUUUUUGGAAGGUCAAACAAAAUUAAAGUUCCUAGAAUUUAUCUUUCCAAAGAGUUCAUUACAUACUUAAUUACUCAUUUGUACUAUUGCUCUCAUCCUUUUUGGAGUACUUAUACCUUUUGUAUGGCCUAUGUCAUCAUAAAUUAUCUUGAUAUCCAUCAAUAUAGAUAAAGAGUAAAUUAGUCAAAUUGAUCAUUUUAUUUAUGAGUUCUUAAGCACCGUGUAAAAUGGAAAGUGAUCAAUUAUUAUGGAACGGAGGGAGUAAGUUCUUUUUUUGGAUCUUUUGAUAAUAUCAGUCCAACAAUGCAUUCACCUGUGUGAGAAUUAUAUAUAUGAUUACGUUAUAACAAUAAUUAACAGGAGAUCGAGGAUUGUCCAAGACCAUAUAUGUCAUACGUACCAUGACAAACAUAAGCAAUUUUUGAGGAAACAGAAUAGUAAGGUUGAGAAAACCCAUGAAGGUGCAGAAGUAAUAAUCCCCCAUCAAUGUGAAGAUUACCCUAUCUACGAAAGACACGAACAUGCAAUCCCCCAUCAAUGUGAAGAUUAAUCAUUGUCCUGUAGUUGAUAGCCUUCUUGUCAUCACUCAACUUGAAAACAAAGUAACGUAACAGCACAGCAGAGAAUAUCUUCAUCUGUCUAUAAGCAAACUCCUUCCCCAAGCAGAUCCUCGGCCCAGCCUGUUUUAUCAACAAAAGAAUGUGCUUAGCUAGAUAGUUUGAAGGGGUAAAUGGAGAAGAUAAAAGGGGAUAGUCAGGAGAUUAUUUCAACAUUGGGGGGCUGAUAUUUACGUUCUGGUUGAGACAAAAUUAGGAGGACCAGAGGUGAAUGUAUUCAAACAAUUAUGGCAAAAUAGAUGGAUAAGGGAAUUUCAUUUGGAUGUUAUAGGCAGAAGCAGUGGUAUCGUAGUAAUGUGGGAUAAGAGGGUGUGGAGAUGAGUGCUGGUGAUAGCAACAAACCAAAUUGUAACCUGCAAGUCUGAAGGCUUUAAUCAGACAUUCACAUGGUUUCUUUCAGCUGUGUAUGCUUCAUGUGAUCCAAAUAAUUAGAAGAGGACUUUGGCAAGAAUUCAUCAACAUCAAAGAAUUGUGUAAUGGGCCUUGGGUAGUUUGUGGAGAUUUUAAUGCCACAAAAUAUCCAAACAAAAGAUCAGAAGGGCACAAAACUACUACGCCAAUGACUGAAUUUUCUGAAUGGACAAUGAGAUGGAGUUCAUGGAUCCUCCUUUAUUUGGGGGGUCUUUCACAUGGAGAAGGGGGGGACAACCACAUGUCUGCCUCCAUAAUUGAUAGGUUUUUAUUCUCUUCCCAGUGGGAUGAGACCUUUACACGGAUUAAACAAAACAUGCUUCCCAGAAUAGGCUCUGACCACAAUCCAAUUAUGCUUGAAUGCGGAGAUUUAAAUUUGAAGAAGUCUUACUUCAAGUUUGAACAAUUGUGGUUAAGGGUAGAGGGUUUCUCAGACAAGGUUAAAGAAUGGUGGGCAUCUUUCAAUAUCACUGGUACGGGCUCUUAUGUCGUAGCCUCAAGUUGAGGAUGCUAAACGGGAAGCUAAAAGAAUGGAAGCUGGAGAAUAGGGACAAUUGGAAUCAGAGAAAAGAGGAAAUUCUAAAUUAGCCAUCAAUUUUAGAAAAGACUCAUGAGUUGAGACUACUAUCAGAGGAUGAAUUACUUCAAAAAGUACCAUCUCUCAAUGGAGUUUGAAGAUGUUGCAAAAAAUGAGGAAAUAGCUUGGAGGCAGAGGUCUAAAGUACAUUGGCUCAAACACGGAGACAAAAAUAUCAAGUAUUUUCACAGGAUGGCUACAUCCCAUAAAAGAUUUAACACUAUUGACAAGUUGAUGGUGGAAGGGGUUACAGUAACAGCUUUAGAAGCAAUUAAAGGAACCUUUGACCAACCUGGAAAGCUGUAAAUUUGAAGGGGUUCUCUGGCCUGAAGAAACCAUCUCCAUCAAGCCAUCUCUCUGGUUUAUACUCUUCUGCAUCAUCACCCCAUAUAAAUUUCAUUCUUCCCAUUGCAUAUGGUAGGUAACACACCAUGUCCCCUUUGUUCACACUGAAUCCAUCGGGUAAGGUGUCAUCUGAAAAGCAUAUUUUUGGAUCCUGCAGUCAGAGGAAAAACAAAAAUAUGAACAUAAAACAUACAUCUACUUUGCCACAGAUGUAUGAUAAAAGAAGCUCUUUCAUACCAAUGGAACUGCAGGAUAAAGCCUAAGAGUCUCUGUCAAUGCUGCAUGAAGAUAUUGCAUCUUUUCAAGUGCUUCUUCACUCACAUUAGCAGCAAAAUCCAUUAUGUCUGUUGCAUCUUUGUUCUCAGUUGUUGCUUCUUUAAUCUCUUGUACUACUUUCUCCUGUACAUGAGGAUACUUGCAAAGCACAUAUAGGAACCAAGAAAGGGUGGUUGCUGCUGUAUCUUUGCCAGCUAUUAAGAAGCUCAAUAUUAUAUCACGCAAAUACUUUGGAUCUGUAUCAGUUAUUUGCAGAAACCUUGACAAAAUGUCUUCUUUCUUCCUCUGCAUCUAGAAAAAGAUCAAAUAUCUAAGCAUCUAUCCUCACUAAUGAAAGUAGUAUAGCUAUAAGGUGAAUCACUUACAGAUAGAUCAUGAGUUUCUGGUUUACUCAUCUGCUCAGUUCUUAUGUGGAUCAGCUUAUAAACAAAUGUAUCAACAGUUCUUAUAUUGUCCCUUAACUUGGCUUCUACUCCGAUAUUGAGAGCUCUUUUAAUCUUCCAGAAGAUAUCAGUAUAUCUCCAAGUUGUCAUUGCAUUAGCAUUGUCAAAUGCAUCGCUAAAUCUUUUGCCUUCUUCAUUUGAACCGCACAUGUUGUCUAGCUCAGCUCCGAAUGCAACUCUGAAUAUAGAAUCUAGAGAUGUUUGAAUGAAUAGAUCCUGCAUUGACGACACUAGGGUUACUUGUCUGGUGAAAACAGAAAAGGGUUGUUUAAGCCUUAAUGUAGUCGAGUCAUGGAAACUUACUUGAAUGUCAACUGUCUUGUUGGAAUUGGCAGCUUCAGACAAUAUUUGAGCUAGCUUUGCCACAUUUUUUCUGAAGACCACACUGCUGAAAUCCCUCAAAACCCUCGUAGAGAAUUCAUGGCUCAAUAAUUUCCUCUGCUCCCGCCACUUAUCUCCAUCAACAGCGAAAAUUCCAUCCCCGAACAGGUCCUUCAGAAUGCUAUAAUUAUACCAUCCCUGCAGAUAAUUUUAAAAAAAAAUUCAAGUUGGCAAUCCAAGAAUCGUUCACCAUUUUGUUACAUCUACUGGGAGAUUCAUAUAGCCGGCUAAAACUUAUUUGGGAGUUGAGGCAUGGCAAUUAAUUGAUAGACUCACAGAUCCUGGAAUUCAAUCAGAUACAUUUCCAAUUUCCCAACUCCAAAUACUUUGAAUUUACCCAUGAUUUGCUACUACUGUACAUCUAUUACUAAUAUGGUUUUUCAGAGUCGAUCAAAUUCCAACACUAAAAAAGAUUAUUUGGGAUGUCAAGAAAAUGGUGUACCUUGCCAUAGUUGUCAAUGUUUGUUUUGAGAAUAUAUUCGACGUUAGCAGGGUCAGAAGUAUAAAUCUUAUUCCUGAAAGGGCUAAUCAAUCUGUAAGUCUUGUACUUGCCAGCAAGAUCAGUCAUGUAAUGGUGUAACCUGUGGAAGUUUAUAAGCUGAUUGAAAAUGGUGCCGCCAAUUGGAUGGUAUCUCUUUUUCCCAUGUAGUUUUCUGGUCAGAAGAUGAACUAGGAACACACAAAAGACAAGUGAGAGAAUUGUGGCUGUUAUGGAUAUGGAGCUCUGAAGAAUAUCCAUGGAAACCACUAAUGUAUCAUUGUGCAUAUUUGUCUUAUAAUGUAUCAUUUAUAUACAUAAUGGGAGUAGAAGGUAUUCGAUCCAUCUAAUGCUUAGAUCAAGUUUCCUUUUCACUUAAUUCAUCUUCAAGAUUUGGACCACAAGAAUAUAGGUUUGGUUUUCUUAGAAAAAUGUUACUGUUAGCCAUUUGAUUUUUGUGAAACAGAAAAUGCAAUAAUCUUUUGGCCAAUUUUCUGAUGCUAGGUAGCUGCUAAGCCGUCAAGAUGUCAAGUAUCCAAUGUUUCUAAGUCAUUUGUGCAACAUGUUUUAUAGGGUAUCAUCUUUUUUAUAGCCAGUUUGGCAAGAAAAAAACUGCAAAAGCUGAUCCAAUUUACUGUAAUCGAUUAGUUAACAUGUCAGUUAAAUGUAUUCUUAAAUACGGAAAAAAUCAUUGGUUUAUCAAAUUAUCUAUCGAGCCAGCAUAAAUUAGAAGUGUUUUAUAGGGUAUCAUCUGCUUCCAAAUCCUCUCCAAGAAUUGUGCUAUUCAAAGCCAUAAUAACUCUGUUAUGAGUAUACUAGUUCAUGGUCUCUCGGUCAAUUGCGUACUCCAGUACCAUGUCUCAGUUGAAGCACAUUGUUGAUUGGAUAUUUUUCUCUAUCUCUAUUGAAGAAACUUUCUCCUCAGUUUUAGAAUAUUUCUUCGUUGGAAUGUGAGUCAUGUCGAUUUGCAAAACACCAUUGCAUGUCGUCACAUCCAAGAGUUAAUAAGUGAGUUGAAUUAGCUUUUGAGCUAGUUCAUUUUGAUGUUUGGAGACCAUGUCCUGCGGACCAACAUAUCAUACAACAGUGUCACAUGCCUCGUAAGAAUCCCUUGGUGCAAUAUAGAUACCGUCUAUGCCGUACAAAUUCAAUGAGAUGGUCAGCUUAAACUUUUAGAUGAGAUAUAUAGUCACACACUUCAACAAAGUUUCUGUUUUUAUCAGAUAAAAAGUCCUGGACACGUGCGUUGCACGUGUAUUCGUAAUAAUUAAUAAAUACUAUUAAAAUAUUAGUGUGAGAUUCAAAAUUAAAUUAAAAGAGGAAAAAACUCAAAUUGAUAAUUGGUGUUCAUAUAUGUCAAAACAAUAUCGUAGUUGAACUUGAGAUGAAUGAGUAGAACAAUUAUAUUUUAAAACUAAUUAUUAAAGUUAAAAAACUUGACUCAGACUCUUUCUAAGAAUCUCUCCGGCACAACAACGUACAAAUAAAAAUCUUAACUAAUGUAUAUUAACAUUAUAUUAGAUAUUAAUUUAACGUAAAUAGAGUAAGUAUUUGACUCAAGACUUUAGAUGAUACAUAUGUACCGUGAUAUUAAAUUUGUUAUAGUCUCAUUCAAAUUAACAUAAAUUCUUAUUAUCUAUAGCUAUCCAUGUGCCUUUUGACAUAGCUAGUGUAAGCAUGAAAAAACAACUUUACAUCAUCUAAUAACAACAUAAUAGCAUUCUUAUACACAAACUUAUAAAGAUGAGGCUUUAAUUUGGGUAAGUACAAAUUCAAGAAAUAAAUUACCAUAUAAAAAGUGAUUUAUUCACUUUAAGAGGUGUUUUUACUCUAUCAAAUAGAGUUUAAAUGACCCCCUUCAUUUUCAAGACAAAAAAAGAAAAAGUUUCUUUAGUGUUAUUGUUUUACUUCGGCCACUAAUACUAUAGUCGGUAGUUGCACACAAUCCACAAAUUAUAUGACGUUUUCUUAAUUUAUCAAAUAUUUAAUUUAUGUGAUAGUUCAACAAUACAUAGUUCAAAUAUGAAUAUGAGCAACUUCGCUUAUGAUUACAAAUACUUCAUGCCUUAAUGCUUGUGUCUUGUCUUUACAAAAUUGUAACCUACACCAUAUUACAGUCAUAUGUUAAAGUUGUACGGAAAUUCAAUUAACAUAUAUCUUUAUUUGGAUGCAUGGGAUCAUUGUCAAUUUCGUGAUGUACACCUGGGGAAGAAAGUAAUAACUACUUGUUAUAGAGAUCCUUAAUAACUAUCCACAUAAGAAUAUUAAUAUGAUACAUUUAAAACUUGGGAGUAUUGUAAAACUGUAUUGCAUCUAAAUAAAGGAUAUGAACAAAUUUAACUGAAAAUAAAAGAAGCAGAGAGCCCGAAGAAAAUUAAAAGUUGCGGGAUAAGAUUAGGUUGUGGAUAACGUUAGAAAUAAUUAGUAAGUUGAUAAUAAUCUAUAAAUAUAUUUGUUCAAAGUUAAAAAUUUUAUUUUGAUUACUUUGAGUUUCUGAAGAUAGAGAGAUAAGUACUAAUCAAGCAGUUGGUAUACUUCAUCCAACAAUAAUAUAAAUACCAAAUCAGUUUUUGAAAGUAAAUACAAAGUGAGAAAGUGUUACCAGGCCAAUUAUGUGGAAGUAAUAAGCAAGAAACCUGUAAAAGUAUUAAUAAUUACACAUAAAAAGACAAUGAGUUAACCAAUGAUAAAUGUAAUUUCUAAUAGAACAAAAUCUAUAUAAUUGAUAGGGAUUAUAUUUUGACAAAUAUACGUAUGAAAGUAUCACAACAACAAACAUUUUCCAAGCUGAAAGCCUCAAUUAGAGAAUUGCUCAAACAAAAAGGCUAAAGGUGGAAAGAAAUCAGAAACAAAAUAUGUCGAUAAAUUAAGUGACAUCCAAUGAAAUUCAAGAGGAAACGAAAGUAAGAAAACAAAAGCAAUGACAUAUUAACAGUGAAAUAAUAGCAGUGAUCAUAUACAUACCUGGGAAAAAUGUAUAUGAGAAGAAGACAAAUAGAACAAUAAAAAGAAAACAACUUAUUGUGGACCCUUAUAGAGAACAAUUAAGAAUAUAAUAAAUUGUGAGGAAAAAUUAAUGGUUGGGAAAAGGAAAAGUUAGUACAAUGUACACUAACUUUAAAGAUGCAGUUAUAUGAAUUGAACAGACAACUUUUAGCUAUAGAGGUAUUACGUUUAACAUGAAUAGUAAAUAAUAAUAUUAUUUGGAAAUUAGAAAGGGCAGAACUUUUACAUCAAAAAAGAAAAAAAAAGAAAAAUUGAGGAAAAAGAUUAGUAAGGAUGCUUGUUUAAGAUUGUAGUAAAUAAAUUAUGCGGGCACAUUGAGAGAAAACUGAAUAUGGAGCAUUAAAUGAGACUGUUGAACUUCUAAAAAAUUAAACAGACAAAAAAACACUACUAAACUUUCAUUCACUCGCCAUUUAUGUGAUUUUAAUAUCAUUAUUUAAUUAAAUAUUUCAAUCUUUAGGUAAUUAAAAUAUUAUUAUUUAAUUAGAUAUUUUAUUAAUUAAUAUUAACUUAUUUAGAUAUUUUAUAAUAUUUUAAACUAGAAUAAGGGUAAAAUGGUAUUUCAACUUUUAAAUUUGUGACUUCCCACUUUUAGUAUAGUAUGAUAUGAUAGUAUGAUAUGAUUAUAUAUUUUGUAUACUGAUAUAGUUUUAAUAGUAUAUUCAAACGCUUUAACCUUGGACAACAAACUUCAUCAAACUGUAGGCAAUAAUGACUAAGGAUUAAAAGAUGAAAUUAGCAUAUAUUAGGCCCAUGCUCAGCUAUGGCGCACCACCACUAGUAUGUAUAUAGAUGUGUGAUAGUUGCAGGGUUACAUUAUAUAGGGUCGCCAUCAAUGUUAUAUCUGGUUAAAUGGUACGUUAUUUUUUUACGUGUGUCUUGCAUUACUUAUUAAUAAAUAUAUAUAAAAAGAAUAAAUUAUUAUAUAUAUGUUAUAUUAUUGAAUCUAAAUAUGAAACGACAAAGUAGCUGCACCAACUUCAUUUCCCUUUUAUUCUUAAGAAGACAUUCAUAUACCAUACAUACAGCUGGCACACAGCAGCAUAUAGGCUUGCAUUCAGGAAAAGCUAAAACAAAAGCUUCCCAUCCAUGUUAUUUUCAAGCAUAGAAUUAUUACAUAUUGUAAUAUUAUUAAUUAAACAUAUGCAUAUAUCUCAACUGUCUGACAAGUAACAAUUACUUAAAUAGUUGAAGGUGGGGCAAUCACUGCACCCUUAGCAAUCUUGGACUUGAAAGACUCAGUUAAAUCUGAAGUCAUAUUUAGAGAGAUCUCUAAAACUGAUGGAGAUAUUGCUUCCCAAAUUGACUUUUUCCCACCUGAUAAUCCUCCAUAUACUUGCCUGCAAAUGUAUAUAUUUUAAGUGAACAAUGUCGCAUAAAUAAUUAUCAUAUAUAGUUAAAUAAUAGGAGUACUUACUUUGACGAUGUUAUGACCGAGAAGAAUUCCAUUCCUCCUUCAUCAGCUUCCACAACAAACGGAAAGAAUUUCGGAAUAAAGAACAAUUCACCUUCCUCCACUUUAGUAUCCAACACAGUCUUACAUAAAGGUCCCACAAUUUGAACACGCCCACUUCCUUUCGUCACAUAACUCAAUUGAACGGACAAAUCCGCUGUAAAAACUGGACCAAAUAAAGCACCACCUUCCAAAACUACACGAUUCGCGCUUAAUCCAAUGUCUCUAAGCAACGGUAAAUUCCUACUAGUUACUGCGGAUAAAAUUCCACCAUUUUUUACCUGAAC